UCAAUAUAUCUAAAAUGCUUAAAUACUAAACAAAGUUAUUUUCUUUUACAAUCUGUAUCAUAUUCAUAUGUGAUUGCCAGGUAUUUUAUUUUAUAUGAUUCUCCACCGAAAACAUCUUAGAAUGAAAGCCAAAGACUCGCAUGUAUGUCACAGACUCAUUACUGAAAAAAAGUGAAACUCAUGGUUAACAAAGAAUGUUAGAGAUUAAUAUAAUUGAUUCGUAGAACUAACUAAUGUCACCGAAAUCGCUUUAUGUAAAAGCUGAAAAUGUGACCAUAUACCAUUUUCUGAAAUUGUUAAAAACAAAAGUCAAAUACAACAAUUACAACUAAAAUGAGAAAUGAUAUUUGUAAAACCAAAUUUUGACAACUUUGAAAAUAACUCUCUCAUGUAUUUUUAUUCUCCCUCUUCUUUUUUCUCUCUAUAUUCUUUUUAUCCAAUAAGAAAAGAGGAAAAAUGGUUGUCUUAAAAGUUGUUUAAAAUAGGUUGUACAAACAUCACUCUUCAACUAAAAUUGCGGUCACAAAUAGUGUGAUCAUCGCAAAAGUGUCACGUAGACAUCAAAAUCCUUAACAUUAACAGGUUAUUGUGGCUGCAAUUAUCUUAGUUAAAAUCAUGAUCAUUCAUAUGAAAUGCACUUGUGACUUAAUUGAAGACACAAAUCAAAACUCUAGGUGAUCGACAAAUGGCAACCCAAGACCAGAAAAAAAAUAAGUACAAUGCCAAAUAUAUAAUGUGUUACAUUUCUAUUUUUGUUCUUUUGGUAUAGCCGUUGGUGGUCGAAUAUGAAAUUUGAGAGGCAGCAUUUUUCAUAGAUACACCAAACUCUAUCACCUAUAUAUCGAAUCUAGAAAAAUGAAGAGAAACAAAAAAUCUACUUGCUCCUUUAAAUGAUCUUUUAUAUAUAUAGAUAGAUAUUAGCAUUUGUACCUGCAUGUGACAAAAUAAAAAAUAAAAAUAGGGGACAUGCGGAUUGCCCCAAAGAUUUUUCUUACUGUGAGAUGAUAUGGUGAGAGAAUAUGUGCUUAAAGGACAUAAAAACAAGGUUCUUAAAGCUAGCACAUGAUGUUAGGGACCAAAUGAUGCAUGUGAUAUGGGGUUGAAAGUUUUGUUUCACAAGUAUUGUCAUCCAAACCCUCAACACAAAAUAAUUUAUUGUAUGGAUGCCCAAACUCCACGAUUAGCCAUUGCCUUCCCCUCUUCAAGAAUGUCACACACACCCAACUUCAUCUAUAAACCUUAUAAUCAUGUCACAUCAACACACUUAGGAUAUCAUAUACUCACUUUCAUGAUAUGAUAUCUCACAUAAGAAUCUUUUUCUCAAUCCACAUUAAUUUGGUUCUUUGCCUCCCUUAAGACAAAGGGUGUCCCAAAUUUAAAUCAUUUGUAUUGAUUAUGAGAGUGAUUAUUUGUUGAGUAGUGAUAUUUAAACAUCUAUUUGAAACAACUUUUGUGAUAAUCUCUUUUUUCUCUCUUUUCAUUGGUCAAAAACAAUGGAGAGAGAAUAAGAGUAUAAUGUGAGUAUGUGAGAUAAAGUUGUCACAAAAUGGUUGUACAAAUAUCAUUUCUCUUAUUUGUUUGAAUUUGGUCACAUUUACAUCUCUUCGCGCCUUUUCAAAGGCGUGCUUUGUGAGGAGCGAACUUUAAUCCUUUUAUCCACAAUCUGAAAGUAUUGUCAAUUGACUCGUGUAUCUGUAAGUCGUUUGGCGUAUUAUUAGACUAAUCAUCGAUUUGCAAUUUAAACUUAGUAGACAGAGUUUGAACUCCAAACUUCAUUCUCAAACUCUUUCGAGUGUCUACAAUUCAACCAUUAACUAAUGUAUAUUUUUGCAAAAAUUGAAGUUUGAUCCUCUCAUUCUCAAGCUCAAAGUGUAUUACCAACUGCAUAUCACCCAUUGAAUGACGUAAGAAUCCUUUAAUAAAGGAAAAAAAGUAGGGCCAAUUGUUAAAAUUUACAAUGUGUUGAUAACAUGAUGAUGGAGUGACUGAAGAGGAGUGGCAAAUGGUAUCACAUGGGUGAGAUACAUUAUACGUGAUGAAGUCAGUCCAUGUUAUAUUGUUUUGGGGUCCCUCCUUUUUGAUAGUCACCAGGCAUUGGUACUAAGUCCGUACAGCUCAACUUGUUUUAGGUUUGCUAUUGAGGAAGGGGAGGGGGUAUACAUGCAGCAAUUCUUUUCAUCUCCCCCCAUUGAUUUAUUACUAGAUUAAGAAGUCACGCACUUUAUAUCCCCUCCUCCUUCACUCACUCUUAACCCUCAACACUUUCCCAUGAGCUAGCAAGAUUCCAUGCCCACCCAUGUUGCUCUAACUGACAUACAUUACAUGCUUGUAGGGAAUACAUCUCAACAAUGAUUGACAUUUUUGCUUUAGAGGUUGGAAACUUAAACUUAAAAUGCGAACUCAACUUCUCUACAACCGACUUUAUGGUACAACUGACGGUAGAGUGUUACAUUAACAAAGGGAAAAAAUUGAUAUUCUACCGUCGAUUUUAUGGUGCAACUAACUAUACACCGUUAGAUUAAGAGAGAUUAGUUUUCUCUUUUUUAAUCAGAUGUUUAAUAUCGGCUACACCAUACAGUACAAUAUGUCAUAGGUAAUCCAAUUUGUAAAAUUGUCCUCCUUGAUAUAUUAAAAAAUAACUUGGAAUUGGAUCUCAAACACCAAUUUGGUACAAAAAUUAAGAGGGGGGACAUUGAUUAAAGGUUGAGGACUAAGAUUUAGUACAUCAUUUUCUUAAUGAAAACAAACAAUUAGUUGUAUUAUCAAUGUGUAGCCAUUGGUUAGUUGAGAGCCUCGCGUGAGCCUAACAGUAUGCUCAAAUUGAAACCGGUAUAUGACCUAAAGUAUUGCCAACAUAGCAAAGUCUUAUCAUUAGAAAGAAAUGGGAUUAUAUCACCCUUUAUGUAAUAUAUGGAUUUUGACGUGGGAAAAGAAAAAAUCAGACAAGGACCAUAACAAAAUAUAAUAAUCAACAUAUAUGGUGCAAUUAAGGUUUUGGGUCCACCUUAUAUUACACCCCACCACUAGCUUUUUCUCCUUCCCUUUUCCUUGUUCAUUCUUUAAGUUUGUUCUAUGGAUUGGAAUUAGUUGUACAACUUUAAUUCACAUGUUCAUUUACUGUUUUUUUAUAAUUUAAGAAACAUCAUAAUUAUUAAAAAAAUGUUGGCAAGUAAACACUCUCAUAAGCAAGUUAGGACUAUAUUGCUUACAAACCUAAUAUUUUUAAGGUUUAAUUGCACUUUUGGUCCCUAUCUUUUCAAAAAUUGAGAUUUUGGUCCCCUAACUAAUUAAAAUACAAAAUAACCCCCAAUGUAUUGGAUCUUUAACAGUUUUGAUCCCCAAGGCCAAUUUUGACUCGGUCAACGCACACGUGGACACCACAUGUAUUUUUUUUAUUAUUUAAAAAAUAAUUUUUAAUUUUUUUAAUUAAUUUUUUUUAAUUAUUUAAAAAAGUAUAUUUUUAAAUUAAAAAAUAAAAUAAAAAAGAUAUUUUUUUAUUUUUUAAAUUUAAAAAAAAAAAAUCAUUUUUUAUUUUUAAAAAAAUAUUUAUUUAUUUUAAAUUGCCACAUUAGCGAAGACCAAGUCAAAAUUGAUCUUGGGGGCCAAAACUGUCAAAGAUCCAAUACAUAGGGGAUGUUUUGUAUUUUAAUUAGUUAGAGGGUCAAAAUGACAACUUUUGAAAAGAUAGGGGUCAAAAGUGCAAUUAAGCCUAUUUUUAAUCAACAUCUAAGAUAUUUGUAUCAUCUCAUUCAAAGUUUUGUCCUUAUAUCUCACGCUUCCUCUAGUUUUUAAAAAGGAAAAAAAAAAAUUGUGAUCCAAAGUUUGAUGAAAAAGUUUGUAAAAUGCAAUCAAUGAUUAUUUCAAGUAAAAAAACACAUAAAAUACAACAAAUAGAAGAAAACAUUAAAAAUAAUAAUGAACGAAAAUAAAUAAAAUAGUGAGUGAGAAAGAGACUAGCACCAUAAAGAAGGGGGCAUAGAUAGAAGGACGAUGUCCAAAUAUAACUAAUAAUAACUAUAAUAACUAACUUCCACAGGACAAUGAGAAAUAAGCACCAAUCAUAAGUGGUGAAAUCCUAAAAAGAAAAUGAAACAAAGAGAAAGUGAUGGAUAAUAGUAGUAAAAUACAAACAAGUUAUAUUCAAAGACAUAGUGAAAGAGAUGGAAGCUCAAAGUAUCCAUCACCAAAAAAAUCUCUAUUCCCACUUUCUUUGCACCUUCUUGGUCUUCCAAACUUAGUCACACCCAUCUCAUCUUCCACCUUCUCAACACACUCUUCCUCACUCACUUCAUCACCAUACACUUCAUGUUUCUUUUCAUUUUCACCUUCUUCUUCUUUUUCUUCUUCUUCUUUUUCUUCAUCUCCUUCAUAAUCAUCAACACUCACUUUAUGCUUCUUUUCACUUUCACCUUCUUCUACUUCUUCUUCUUCAUAUUCUUCUUCCUCUCCUUCAUAAUCCUCAUCAUCACCAUCAUAAUCAAAAACAGUCUCAAAAAUACUCAACCUAAGCCUACCAUCAACACGUUCUGCAUGGAAAUAAGGAGUAGUAGAAGGAGAAGCAAUAGCUUCUAAUAUCAACCUACCACCUUCGCGAUGAGGCCUAACAUGAACACCACCAAAAUCAGUUAUUGAAGUGAGUGGUGGAGGAAAGUUACAAGAAGCUUUAUUAACUCUUCUAGACACACAAUUAUUCAUGUUGUUAUUGUUAACAUCAUUUCUUGUGUCAGAAGAAAAUAAUGAAACAUCAAUAUCACUACUUUCACCAGCAUUGCUACCAGUUUCACUCCCAAGGCUUUCAGUGCACAUUUCUAAGCUCUUUUCACUUAGCAUUGAUGAGGAACGUUUCACAGUAGGAUGAACAUAGACGUUACCAUUUGCAUUUUCAAUUUUGUUAGUUUCUGUUAAAGCUUGAAGGAAACUCCAGCUAGAUUUUGUGUCAUUUUUUUCACAUUCAUUGUUGAUGAUGAUGGGUUUCUCUUGGUCUAAAGAAGGUGAAAUGUUUGAUCCUGGUGGAGCCAAUUUGAGCGUUAAAAUACGUGGUUCUAUCAAACGAGGUUCAAGACAAGAUUGCAACCCUUGGCACAAGGAAGAAGACAUUUUGUCUUAUCCAAAAAGAAAAAAUGUUUUAAAAACAGGGUAAGUGAAAACAGGGGAAAAACAGAGGAUUUUUAAAGUACAAAAAAAAAUGAGGAUGUUAUGAGGUGAGAGCAAAUUUUGGAGAGUGUUAAACCAAAGACAUGGUUUGGUUAUUGGUUUUUUGUUGUUGUUUGAAAUGAAAUUGAAGAUUAGGUUUGUAAGGAUAAGGGAGAAAAUUAGAGGGUUGAGAAGAGAGGAAUGGAGAUGAAUGAGGAGUGAAAUGGGUGGGUCUAAUAUAUAUAGUUGGGCAAUGGUGUGAACCUACUAACCUUUGUAACUUUAUUGUGUCUAGUGGGAAGAGGGUCCCUAUUCCCUAACAAUAGGAAAGUAGUGGUAAAAUAUAGCAUAACUUUUUUCUUAUUUUCUCUAAGUUUGGUACCAUUUCAAAGUUAAUAUUUUUUCCUUUAAAAAAGUUAAUAUUUUUCAUAAGUAAAAAUUUAAAAUAAGGUAGAAAUACCCUCUUACAAAUUUGGAGAGAACCACGAGCUUCAUUGAAUAAUUUAAAAUCACAACUGAAAUCGAUGGAAGGAAGGUCGAACCAUAUGUACAAACGUCAAUUUAUAUAUUUUAAAGUUAAUUUUAAAUUUUUAUUAAUUCAAGUCUACUUAUGAUAAUUUUGUUGCUAUUUUUGUAUUUCUCUCGUUUACAUUUACAUGACCCAAGAGCAUAUCCAAUGUAGGUACAUUAGUUGUUCUCUUAAAAAUAAAAUUAUAAAAUUUAGUAUUUUUUUACCAUUGGAGUGUGUUGAUAUGGAGUUUGAGAUUAUUUUAAAAUAAGUUAUGGAGCUUAAAGAAGAAAUCCUCUCUCCUAAGAUCUUAGGCAUUAAAAAUAAUAUUUUGACAUUCAAUCUUGAAUAAAAACUAAUAUUUGGAGUCAAGUAUUUGUUGCUUAACUUUAUCACCAUUUGAGUAAAAUGUAGUUUGAUCCCUUGAAAAUUGCUUAAAUAAUACUAAAUAGCAAUUUGAGUUGAACCCACAAAAAAAAAAAUUAAUCAUCCAUUGAAGUUACCAUUGAUUGGAGAUGCUCUAAAUAUGCUUCCAUCACUUUUUGUUGUUUAAAAACAUUUGCACUUGAAACAAUCUAACAAUCGACAUGGUUUACCCUCCAUGUUUCAAUCAAUUCUUAAAAAAUUAUUUUGAUAUAAACCCUUGAUUUUGUGUCUAUACUUUAGUAUUAUUUAACCAGUAACAAACUUUAGUUAUUCUUUGUUUAUGAAUAUAAAAAAAAAAUGUAAGAAUGUCAGUAGAAAAGUUCAAUUUGACAUCUGAAUCCUGGGUGGUAAUGUAGAGUAAUAAAAUUUGAGGCAUUCGGACAUAUGCUCUGCUAAAAGUUCAUUGCAGCAUAAUUUAAUUGAGGCGGAUUGAUUAGUGAGAAUUGAAUUAUUCUAAAUGUUCAUUCUUCAAAUGAUUAUUAUAUGAGUUUAAUUUGUGUUUCACGGUCCAAAUUCAAGUUUUUUUUUAACCGUUUAUCAUGUUGUCAAACAAAAAAAAAAUCAUCUGAUCGUAGAGAUUAAUUCUCAAAUCAGAUAUACCAUAAUAUGAAAUGAAAUAAAAAAAUUCAACACAGUUUUGUGUAAUGAUGCAACCUUUUUAUCGCGAUUUAAAACUUUGAUAUAUAAAACAUUAUAUUGAUUUGAGUAUAACUUAACUUAAAUUUUUUGACCAAUAUUUUGGACUCGAGCUUUGUUGAUGAAAAGAUGUUUGCGGGCGGUGAUAUAAUUGUUAAUUUUUUUUAUCAAGUAGUUUAGUGAUAAAAAAAUUUCGCUUAAAAGUAAAUAAAUAAGAUAUUCGAAGUUCAACUCUGACCCAUGCAUAUUCUGAUGUAGUGACUAUACUAAUUAAAUUAAACUCACAUGAACGGAACGGUGAUUCUAUUAAAGGUAACUUUUUGGAUUUUUUUUAACAAAAAUUAACCAUCAACAAAAUCCAUAAAUAUUUCACAUUAAUAACGUAUUAACAUUUUUUUUUUAUGACAAACAUAUUGACAUAUUUAAAAAGAAUGAAAACCUUGAUAUAGCACUAGUGUAAAGCCUGCGAAUAAUGUGUGUAGUUAAUUAAUUAAUUUAUCUCUAAAACUAAGAUGAAGUAAGAUAUGUUAAAAUGAAUAGUGUGAUAAAGGAUGAAUAGAGUGUUAAGUGUAGGUUUUAUUACGGUGCUCCCCAAAUUACUUAUCUUCAUAUAAUCUAUAUACAAAUCAAUUUGCUGCCACAGAAAAUUAAAGUGGUGAAAAAGAAGCAACAAACUGACAUAGUCUUCCCUAUAUUUAUCAACUGAACUUCUUUUUAUUGUGGCCAUAGGUUUGGCAUUGGCAUUACCAUCAAUAGAACAAAACCAAAUAUAGUAGAAUAACCAAUUUCAAUUACUAUUUACUAUAUAUUAUACAAUCACAAUUGGAUUAGCACCAUCCGUGCAGUACCUAUAAUCCAUCUUUUUUUCUUCAAUUAUUAUUACUUUAUUAGAAAAACACACUUUAUAUAUCUCUCCAACCAAACCAAAUUAAACUCUUAUUAAAAAUAAAUAAUAACUUAUGUUUGUUGUUAUCUAAGACUUUGUUUGGUAUACAAUAGCGGAUAAACUACCUAGUAAAUACCAUAAAAUUAUAAUUUGUCAUCACAUUAUAUAUAUAUAUAUAUAUUAUAGACUUAUGAUGUCAAUAUAUAACAUAUAUUGUCUUUUAUGCUCACCUGAAGAGUGUCUAAGACAUAAACAAUAUUCGUCGAGAAAGAACUACAAGACAAUAUAUGUUCAUUACCCGUUUUUAUUUGUGUUUUACGAUCAUUACCAUCGAGAGACUUCUAGCCAUGGAUCAUUGAUGAUCUUAGUUUCUAUACAUGCUAGUAUUUUUAUUUGAUUUCCAUACUAAAUUAUGAUUAAUAUUUUUAUUAGAGAAAAUUAUGGUCUUAUUUAUAAUCUUUGUUAUUGACCAUAUGAUUAAUAUUAAGUUAAUUCCAACAUUAUAGUGGAGGAAUUGUAAGCUAAUUAAUAAGUCAACCAGCCAUACAAGAGUGAAGCAAGUAAGGACUACUAAAAUAAGUUUUGAAUAAUCAUAGUUUUUUUUUUUUUGUUGAAAGGGAUCAUAGCUUUGUUAUUUUCUAAGUUUUUUUUAUACAAUUUUAUGUCUUCUAAUCUAAGAGGUCUCAAACUUUUUCUUUACCUUUUCACUCAAUAAUGAAGUUUACAACCCACUCUACAAAUUAAAAUGGCCAACAUGUAUAUAUUUCUGGUCAGAAAAAAGGGAAGAAUCAUUUUCAUCAUCACUUUUCUUCUGACUUUUCUAUUGGCCAAAUCUCUCCACAAUCCAUUAGUGUACGGAAAAUGUUCAUAUUAUUUGCUCUUUUUUUUAAACAACUAGAGAGGUUCGAUCAAUCAAAAGAAGCUACUUUGUAAAAGCACAUGGUCUUCGAGCCACUCUCUUCCUCUCACAGUCUAAAAGUUUAAUCCAUAAAUAUAUAUUAUAACUUUCAUACGAACAUAUAUACAAAUGAUCAAGAGAACAAAAGGUUUUAAAAGCUUGACACAAUUUAGUAAAUUCGUUUGGCCAUCAACUGUAUGGACCAGCUGAGCAAUAUGUCAUGCACACUUGAUGUCUACAAAGCAAAUGUUUUAAAACUCAUAUCGUUCAGAGAUAAAAUCGGUGAGACUGUGUCAUAAAAUAUGCAGGGGUUGAGAUUCGAACUUUGAACAUCUCAUUUCUUCAUCUUAUAAGAGGUGAAUUUAUAAUUAUUAAACUACUUGACCAAUAUAACUAAGAUAAAAUCAACGGUCCGCUCCGAUUUUAUGAACAUUAGUAGUAGUACAAAGUAUAUAUUCCAAUUAAAGUUUGGUUUAUAAAUAUCUAAAGGCUAAUAAUAUUUUCAUCGUACAAUACACGUUUUCUUUUUUUCUCUUUACAAUCAGAAAUACAAGUAUAAGGAAUCUGCAGAUUCAGAAAAGUGCUAAAAAUUCACUGGAAAUAAUGCUGAAAUGUAUCAUCAGCAUACACACAUUACAGCAUAUAGCUAAGCUAGGGUAGUAAAAAGUUAUCCACUUGUGCAGCCUAUUGUACAUGAAGUCAUGCAUAUUACACAAAAAGGAUCAAAUUAAUUGUGUGGCAGUGGCUCUUACAACAUGCAAUAUACAUAUAUAACAUACAAUAUGCUCAUUUGCCUUAUCCAUCACUUAGGUUAGGAUUGAAACUAGUAACGAGUGGCAAUGAAUGAAACUAACGGUUUCAAGGAAAUUGCUUUUCACCCCAAGACAUUGAAAAUAAUUACUAGAUUUUGCAAUUAAUUAUGAAAUGUUCUCUUUGAUUGUUUACUCCAGGUGCCAUUUAAUUUGGGAAAGGAAAGUUCUUUCUGGCAGCAACCAUGGUGGUGUGUGGUGGUGCAGUGGUUGUUGAAUUUGUGAUUUAGUGGUGGUGGUAUGGGUGUGUGGGGACAUGAAAGAGAGAGUGUGAAAGAUAGUAUAAAAAAAUAAUCUAGUGGUUGAGAGAGUAUGAUAGGAAUAUGUUUCUCAUUUAAUCUAAUGGACAUGAUCAACUUUCCCAUGGUGGGAAAGAACUCUUAUUUCCCAAAUUAAAUGGCACCUUUACUCCAUGCAUGGUUAUCAUUAUCUUAGUUCAUGAUUGAUGAAAUCAUACGUAUCAUAUUUCGUCUGUGAGCUUAGCUCAGUUGGUAAGUACAAUGCAUAAUAUAUGCAAGGUCUGGGGUUCGACUCUCGGCCACAACAAAAAAAAAUAUGUAUCAUAUUUCAAUUUAUGUCACUUAGGUUGGCCUCCUGGUAUUGGCUUGUGACAUGUGAGUGUGCUGCUUCUUAAAGUCGAGUGGAAUAAUUUAGUUUCUUCUUAUUUGAACUCAUGCUUCCGAUCAAUUUGACCUUCUUACUAAAAUCGAUUGUUAUUCGAGUCCAACAAUUUGGUUUAUAACCAUGAUUAAUUUGCUCAUUAUUUGUCUCCCAUGUAUAAUUAAUUAGUUAGUUAAUUAAUUAUGGGGAAAUAUUGUCCCUAAAAUUAACAAAACUAAAUAAUGAUCUAUACAAAUUGAAAAUCAUUGAAUGUAUUAGUUCUUGUAGGUGAUCAUAGCCCCACAAAUUAUCCAAAAUGACUGAUUAGUGUUAUACAUUAUCUUCAAAUCUAGGAAUUACUUUUUAAAAAUAUUAAUUUCAGAUAUCAAAUUAUAUAAUUGUAUGGACUAAAUUGUGAUUCAUUAAUUAACGAGUUUAAUCAGUAAUCACUGACAAUGUACAAAAAUUAACAGAAACCUCCAAUAAGAAGGCACAUAAUAUUUGUUAUUCUUAAAGGCUAAGAUAUCUACAGUGUAUAUGUAGUGUAAUGUGCUUGAAUAACAUGUAAAACUAUUUUACACCGUCCAUAUAUAUAGUACUACUUAAAUUAAAUUCUUAUGCUAUAAAUGGCUAGCUACAGAUUUAUAAUGAUGAUAUUGGACUUAAUUAGGACACAUGAACAUAUCCUUUUGACAUCUCAAAUAUGGUAAUCAGUACCAAAUUUAUGCAUGUAACAAUUAAGUGGCAAAAUCACACACCUAACAGUGGUCGGAUACAUCAAUUCAUUAGUUUCAGAUGAUAGCAAAAAUGUAAAAUUAUGUUUAUUUCAGAACACCAUGUUUUACACGUCCAAUUAACCUUAAUACACAGUAUAGUUUUCAAACAAUGAUGACGUACUAAAUUUAGUUUUGUGACAAAAUAAAAUAGAGUUAUAGUGUACCAAAAGAAAAUAGAGUCUAUAAUAGAAGAAUCUUAUUCCAAUAAAAGAACUUAUAUAUUGUAUAGUCGUGAAGGCUACAAGAGAGGGACCUAGAAUAUUUACUGGUUUUGGUACACCACACGCAUAGUUCUUAGAUAAUUGCUUCAUAUAUAUGUAAUACAUUAAUUAGAGGGUCGAAUGAAUUAUGAAAGGAAUAUGAGAAGGGAAAUAAAAGGAAGGGGACAAGAAUAUAUGCGUCUUACACAAACUUUUGAAAGCUAGGUCAAUUUCCUAAACAUAUAUAGAUCAAAUGCUCUUGAAUGUAUUAUUUAGAUUAAUCCACCCUUACUUCUUUGCGGUUGUUCUAAAUUGGCCAAUCAAUUAAAACCUUUAUGAACAAAAUGCAUAUAUAUAGACUCAAUUUAAACACAAUUAUUCUAGCCAGCUAUAGAUUCAUUAUGUACGUGAAAUGUUAAUUUAUGUAUCGUUAUUUUUUGCUAAUAUUUUAUGUAUCGUUUAACUAAGGCAUAUUUUUUGUCUUUAGAGGAAGAAAGGCAAUGGAUUCUCUUGCAUGAAUCAGUCUAAAAUGUUAAUAAAACGCAACAUUACUUAAUAAGUUGAGUUUUGAGUAUUGACCGUGCUAGCUAGUGCUACAAUUUUUUUAUUCCUAUGGUUUUGUUUGCUCCACGCAAAAAAUAGUAAUAUGGAAAUGAUCAAAUGCCACAACAGAACUAGCUAUAACACAUGAGGAUCGAUCGUGCAAACAAAAUAAAAAUAUAGUACUAGUAGUAGUGUUUGUAGUUUAGGAUUAAGAAUUAAGUUGAAAAUUGUGAAAAAAAGUCAUUCGAUUCACUUAAAGAAUGACAUAAUAAAAACAAUCAUUACAAUGACUAAUGGUUGACAUUGUGGUAAUUAAAUUGACAAAUAAAACUUUUUAUGUUAAAAAAAGUUUUUUUGUUACAGAUGAUUUAACUUUUACUACUCGUUUUAAUUAUUCGAAAGAAAUGAAUAUUAAUUAUUUAAAAUGUAAAUAUUCUGUUUAAGGUAAACAUCUAGGUCUAGGUUCGAUGCAACCUUCGUUGACAUGAGUGUUGGAAUCCUUGCAUGUAUACUACUUUCUUUUGUGAAGUGGUCGCCGUCCUCUUUUGGUCCACGUCGGAUCAAAAUUUAAACCUAUUUUUUAUAUUAUAUAUGCAUACGUAUCAUUCUUAUAGUGAAAUACUGAAAUUGCAAAGAACAUCAACCUAUCAAACGUUAAAUAAAAUAAAAUGAAGAUGCAAUGAUUCCAUUUAUGCUUUAUGGACGGUAGAGAUAUCAUUUUUUGAUUUUGAAGCCAUGACUUUAAACUAAUUUCAACCUUCUCAAAGUUAGCUAUGCACUUAAUUACAAUUCUUAGAUACUAGUAAGAUAAUUAAAAAAAGAACAUCAUCAUCAAUUUCCAGCAUAUGAAAUGAGGAGAUAGCGAAUCAAGGUGUUUGUUUGUAGCAUCAUGACUUGCAAAAGCUUCUCUUUUUCAAACAUUUGUUUAACAAAUAUGACGUAAUUCAACAGUCUUUGCCUCCAUUCGUAUGUAAUCCAUACAGCUGUUAGUGGGAAAAAUUUUAAUUCAAAUUAAAUAUCAAAGGUGAGAAUAUGGCAUCUCCAGAAGGCAAAAUGUUACACUCCAUUGCAAAGUCAAAGAAUACAAAAAUAUAUAUAAGGUCGCAAGUUAGAUGGUAGAAUUGGAAUUUAGAGUGCAUAAACUGUUAAGGGGACGUUGCAAAUCCAUUGGACUUGCAAACUGUGAGAGGCUAAUAGUCCACUUCGACAAACCUAACUUUACUAUAGUCCACUUCGACAAAAAUCUAGUAUAAUUAGUAAUUCUCCGUAUUUGAUUUAAUAGUAUUACGUAGACGAAUCCACUUGAGUUAACUUUUUUAUGUUGACUUGAGAUAUUAGAAUGUACUCUUCUGAAAUAUAUUACGUCAGCUAGAGAUUUGAAAGCCAAAAAAUAAUUUGAUCAAAAGGAGCAUUGGGCCAUUUCAUGUUGGUUUGGAUGAGAAAAAUAGUCGAGUCUUGGAAAAAUUAGAAGAAAAUUGCUCAAUAUGCCCCUUAGAUUGUUCACUAGCCCCUCGAAAUUUUGAAAUUGACCCCCUCGGUUCCUUACUCCCGAUCGUUCUAUUUUGAGAGUUAGGAUCCAAAUUGCCCUCAACUCCAUUUGCGCUUGGUUCCGGAGUUAGAAACUGAACGGAUCGGGAGAUACAACUCAAUUCGUUUAUGCAUCAUAAUCAAAGAGCAUUUUCAAUUUCAAGUCAUAAACCAAAAUUUCAACAACAAUAUAAUUCAAAAACCACUCAUAUUUUCAACAACAAUUGACAUUCCAUCACUCAUAAUUCAACAUAACUAGAUGUAACGAUAGAGAAAAAUGACACAAAUUGACAACAUAAACGAAAAAUGACAACACAAUUUAAGCAAUCUAAAUAAAACUCUGCAAUCGAACCAUAACUUUCGAACUUGAGGGAAAGAGAGUUAGGACCUGAACUUGAGUGAUUGGUUCGUAAGUCCGGAGAAAGGUAUUUUGGGAAAUUAAAGAGGCUUGUGAGCAAAUCAAGGGGUUUAAUGAGCAAUUUUCAACUUAUAAAUGUUUUACUCACUCCAAAAAUUUAAGAUUGGAAGUGUGACAGGGUCGAUUGGCCCAACUUAAUAACCAGUUACAGGUUUAGCAACUCGGUGAAAUUUAAUGGACUAAAUCAUAUAAUCCAUAAAGUUAGCCGAACAAGAGAAAAGAAAAUUCAUAAUGAAUUAAGAGCGAAUGAAAGAACAUGAUUCACACAUUAUCGUUGUUUUGAAAUUUCAUAUUGUUGGACCGAACACAACCGUUUGAACUAACAGGUGGACAACAACACUCAUUGUUGAUUGUGGUUCAAUUUUAUUUCUUCCUUAUUUGUGAUUUAUUUUAUGAAAUUAUAGUUUAAGUACUUAUUUGAGGUUUGUGGUAACUUUAGAAAUAGAUUCCUUACAUUGUUAUUGGUAAUUAUUGUGUAUUGUUACGUGUAAAGUGGUUGAUUACGAGAUGUAUCAUGAAACAAUUGAGUAUAUUGAGAGAGGCAAGUUUACUUAUAAUUGUCCACACCUCAACAAAAUCAAACCAAAUCUCCCUUAAAAAAAUCAAAUCAAAUCAAAAUAAAUUGAAUUAAAUUUGAUUUUAAAAUUAAACUAACUAUAUAUAGUAUAAGAAUUUAAAAGGGAAAGUAUUUAAUGUUUUUCUUCCAAAAUCCGUCUACUUUGGAUCCAAAGAAUCAAUAAAAUAAAACUUAAAAAAUAAAACAAUUAUUUUUCAUCAAUUAUUUUGUUGUGAAAUCCUCUGAUUUAUUAGAAAAAUGAGCCUUGUAAUUUAGACUAAACUCAGGUCCUUUCGUUGAGUUGAUUAAUCACUUGAACUUAAUUGGUCAAUCUUUUCAUCAAAAUAUAUAUUUUUUCUAGUAAACUCAUAUAAUUUCAAAAAAAUUGUUUGGUAACUACUCUUUUAAGCCAAAUUAUAGCUUAUUUUUAUGAGUUUAUAGAUUGUUUUGAUAAACUAAUUCAAGUAGUGAGAGCUUAUAACUUUUUGUUCCAAUUUACUCUUGCAAUCUUUAUUGUAACAAAUAAAUAUCAAUAAAAUGCACAUUCUAUAAGCUACUUCAAACGCCAAUUUCAUCAAACAGUACAAAUUUAAUCAGUUAGAUUAUCCGCUAUAAAUUAACAUAUGAAUUAUCCACAAUUUUUUUUUAUCAAACAAAGCUUAAAUACAAUCUUUUUUGAAAUGGAGAAUUCUUAUAUUGAAAAAUGUAAAUUUAAUUUUUGGUAAAUGCCAGACAAGUGUCUUCCAAAAAAAGUUUAAAAUAAAAAAAUGAAAAAUGUUAAAGAGUUCCCUUCAGUCAUUGGUUAAGAAAACAAAAAUAAAAAUAUUGUAUUGGAAAAUGAUGAAAAAUGAUAUAUUUGACUUUCUAAAAAUUUAAAAAUAAUCUCUAAAAAAAAUAAAAAAAUAAUAGGAUUAAAUGUAAAUUUACUACUUUAAGUUCUCUUAGACCACUUGUUAGCAUUACCCAUAAAAAAAUUUAUCUUAAAAAUUGUAUAUUCAAUACAUUAAGACAUUGAAAAAACAAAUUUUCAUACAUAAAAUUCAUCAAAUUGUUUUUUAAGGGAAAAACAAAUGCAAACUUUAUUUUUGGAAAUCGUACAUUCAACACGUUAUAAAAACAAGGAAAAUGUUAACAAGCUCUCUAAAAACAUUGUUUAAGUAUAUAAAAGUAGCAACUUUUGCAUUGAAAAUUGUACGGUUAUGACUUUAACAAGUGUUUGACUUAUAUUUUUAAAACAUAAUUUCUUUUUGUGAGUUCCUAAACAAUGCACUUAGGCAUUUGUUAUUGUUACCAAGACCCUAAAAAUAAAAUUAACCUUUUCUACUUAAAUUUCUUCAAUCAUUUCUCAUUUUAAAAUCAUUAACAAAUGCUUUUAGAAUACUUAUUAACAUAACUUUUUUUUUUAAUCUUUAACAAAUAUUCUUAUCAUCAUCAUCGUAAUCUUUUACGGUGAAGUUAGAGUUUAAGGUUUAGGAUUUUGUCUUUUUAAUUUCCAAACCCCCAAAUGAGCGAUGUGGCAUUUUAGACCUGUUUUUGUUUUGCCGUGUCAAAUUGCUUAUGUUUCUCUUCCUGCUUUAAAUCUUUAGUUCUGUGUGUGUUGUCCCUUCAAAUUCCAAUACACAUUCACCAACAACAAGAGUGAGACUCAGGGUGUUGUACUUUUCUUUCCUCUUCUGCACCAUGGGCCGAAAACCUGGACCUAAACCUUCCAAAACCAAAGACGCGGUACUCUCCUUGGUACACAAAAUCCACUCUUUUGUUUUUCUCUCAUCUUUCUUUUCCGUUUUAUGUAUGUACGAUAUUAUCGUUUUCUCAUUAUUAUUUAUUGUUGCGUUUCCAUUCUCAUGUUCCUAUUUUGGUUUUUUUUUUUCUUUCUUUCUUCUCAUGGAUCAUGUUUAGGGCUAUGGUUUAGGUAGGGUUUUCUGAUUUUCAAUGUUUGCAUGAACGAAUGUUAGGAGAAAUACAAGAGCUUUCGUUUUGUGGUUGCAUGCAUUCGUGAGUGUGUUGUUAUUGUUGACUUUUCAUUAUUUUGUACUUUCUAUGUCGGAAAGCUUUGCUUUUUUUAUCUAAUUUUUGAAGUCUUUUUACCUUUUUUUACGAUGAUUUCACUUUUCAAGUUGUGUUUUUACCAUUGGAUCUGAUUUAGUGUGAGUGGUUGGUGUACAAGGUGGUUGACUCGGAUCUGACUCCUCUGAAGUGAAGAAGACACUCUAGAGAGUAAACUGAGUACUACAAACCACUGAUUGAAAAAUAAACUGUGGAUAACAAAUCAUAAGUUUGUUGAAAUCUAUGAAGCACGGAUACGGACACACCGACACCCCAACACUACUAAUCAUUUGAGAAAAUCACAUGAUUUCGUGUAAUUAUGUGUGUCGGUGUCGGACACACACCUAAUCCAAGGAGUGUCCGUGCCUCAUAGAUUGAAAUAACAACUCUUGAUUUUUUCACAUUAGACCAUAUUCGGGCUAUCUAUAUACUAUUUUUGAAUGUGAAAAACAUUGUCCGCUACUCAAGGAAUUUGUAUAUGUACACAUUUUGAAGAAAAAAAAUCAGUCAUUUUGUGUCGUUCAGAAGUACACUUACACCAGUAAAAAAGUACACUUUCGACAACAUUCGUGUUUUUUAAGACAUUUAGUGAUGAAAAGUAGCACCUUUUUAUUAUCAUGUUUCAACCAUUGAUUAAUAUAUCAAUUGAUGAUAUUUGCUGUGCAUGUAAUAUCAUAUAUUGAUUUAUGAAGAAAAAAAAAAUUGAAUUGUUUGCUUUAGUGGAGCUAAAUUCAGGGCUUUCUGAUUGAAUAAACAAAUCAUGUAUAGAAUCAUAUAUGUUCACUCAGCAUUGUCUUUUUCUCAUUCCACAGCCUGCUGCUAAUGCACUUCCUUCUGAGAGAGUUGAACAACAAGCUUCCAAUGAAAACAUAAAUCCAAUGGAGGUGUUAGAAUCUGAGCUGGGAAAUCCACACCCUAUGUCUUCCCCACUGAAAAAGCAUCUGAAUUCGUCAGUAGCUGGAGUGGAAACAGGUGCUGUAGGAAAAGAACCACAAGAACAAACCACUCUGGUAAGUAAACAUCAAAAGAAGUAUGCUACAUUGGCUAAAAAAAUGUCCAAAUACCGUAAUGGAUCUGUGAGGCGUUCUGAACGCAUUAGAAGCGGGGUUGUUAAAGUUAAAUCCACCAACUCAAAGCAGGGCGUUGAAUGCGUUGUGGAUAUGACUGUUAGUGAUAGUGAAAAGGAUGAAUCUGAUGCUCAAACUGAGCAAGUAUUGCCACAGCCAAAUCCAACAGAUACUCAAACUGAGCCAGUGCAAGUAUUGCCACAGGAGAAUCGUCAAACUGAGCCAGUGCAAGUAUUGCCACAGGAGAAUCCUCAAACUGAGCCAGUGCAAGUAUUGCUACGGGAGAACACUCAAAAUGAACAAGCUGAAAUGGAACAGUUACUAUUUGAGCCUGAGUCUGAGCUUGAACUUAAUCCUGCUGAAAAUGUAAGUGAAAAGAGUGUGGAUGUAAAAGUUGACUAUGCCUUACAGAAAAUCGAUGCUUUGUAUAAGAUGAUAGAAUUGUUGACAGCCAAGGUAUACUAUAGUAUAUACCUAAACUUAAGACAACAUGCCAUUGUUAUUUUUGUUGUUAUAAGUGUGAUGCCUCAUUGGUAAAUAUAUUCUGAACAUAUAACAGGUUGAUGGAAAUGCUGGCUUAUAUGAAGCCCCGUCGAUGGCACUCGGUUAUCGGAGCAUGUACAUUGAUUCGCAGAAGAAGGUUUUGUUUUUAAUUUAUUCAUUUUAGAAAGAAAAAAAAUCCUAAUGUCAUUUUUAAGCCUACUGUUUUGUGUUUGAUUAUCCCAUAUUUCAUAUAUGGUGUGUACUGACUUACAUACAUAUAUGCAGCUUGAAGCUUUAUCCAACGAAAAUGAACAACUAAAAGGACAAUUGGAAGUGGUAUGUUGUGUGAUAUCUAUUUUUUCCUUUCUAUUAUUUCUUUUAGGUGUCAUUAGCCAAAAAUAUUAAACUUCCUAUCUCUUGGUCAUGGAAGCUCUCAUAUCAUGUUAUGAACCAACUACCAUCUCUAAACAUGACAUGAUAUGCUACACCAGUAACAAAAUAAGAUCAUAAACAAAAUUUUAACUAUUGCAUUUGCAUGAAGCAACCACAAGAACAUUAUUUUAGGAAGUUUUAUUUAAAAUCAUUACUGGUGUAGCAUCUGAUCUUGUGAAUAUUUACUGGUUACAAGACACCGAUAAAACUGUAUAUGUUAAUUACUUGAGCUUUUAGUUGACUUGAUGUAUCUAACUAUAUACCUUUUGAUAUUGUAGUAUGAAAAAGUAUUGGAUAAAAUGAAGGAUGUUGUUAAUCAGCAACUUUCAAAUGUGGCAAAAACUGCUGAAGCUGCUGUUAUUUCCUUGAAUCAAGAAAUCGACAAUGCUUCUGCAGGUAAAAGAAAGAGAAUUGAAGGCUGAUGAACGAAAAAAGUUAAUCUUGCAUAACUUCUUUUUUUGUAUCAUAUCACAAACUUGAUACUACCUAAUGUGCUUGACCUGGAAGUUGUGCCUAACUAUUUAAACUUGCUUUUGUAUGGACUUGUUGCUUUAAGUUGAACUAGUUGAACUAGAUGUUUUGAAAUUGUUUGUGGUUCUGAUGUUUCAAUGCCUCAUCCCCAUCUAUCCGACACCAAUUCUUAUGUUUCAAUGUUGAUAGUUUUAUCCUCAACAACAUUGUUCUUGAAAUGCUCUACAGCCAUUGCAUUGUUAUGGUUGAUUCCGUGCUUCUAUUAUUGGCUCGCCAAAUGAUCUUGUUGAGAAUACCGUAUUCCUUCACAAUGCGUUAGCUCAGAGAAGAAAAGAAAUAUAUUAAAGGCUUAAAUAUUGCACUCGUCCCUGCAAAUAUGGCCCGUUUAAGUUUUGGUCCUUGUAAAAUAAAAAUUCAGAAAUCAGUCCCUGCAAAAAAUUCUGUCUUUUAAAAAUACCCCUGGGCCCAUUUAAUUGAUGACAGGUCACCAAAAUGUACACGUGGCGCGCGCUGACUGUGUAGUUGUGCCGACGUGGCAUCUAACUGAACAUUUUAAAAUUAAAAAAAGAUUUUUAAUAUUUGGAAAAUCUAUUUAUGAUUUAAAAAUAAAAACAACUAUUUUAAAAAACAAAAACUUAUUUUAAAUAAAAAAAAAAACAUUUGUAUAUAAUAGAAAGGGGGGGAAAAUAGAAACCCUAGUUUCAGAUUUUCCCCCAAAUCGACCCAUCUUCUCAUUUCUCCCAACUGAGCGAUCCAUCUUUCUUCUUCGUUGAUCAUCGUCGUAUUCCUUCAUCCGUUGAAAAUCCUUCUUCGUACACUGAAUCGACGGCUGAGAUUUAGCAAGAUCGGGUGUUCGACGGCUGGGAUUUGGAAAGAGACUAGGGUUUGACGGUUGUGAUUGUCUCAAACUUAGCUACAGUGAAAGGUAACCUUAUUUAUGAUUUUUAACUGCAGUAGUUGUGUAAAUCAAUGUGUUGUUGAUUGCUUAUUGUUGUCUUUGUUGUGGGGACCAAAACUUCAGUUUUUAUUUCUUACACAUUUUCAUUUUGUUUUUUUUUGCAUGUGUAGUAUGUCUAUCAAGGUUGUUUUUCAUCAUGGAGGGUUGUUUGCAAGGGACUGGGUUAUAACGUACAAGGGUGGGAAAGAAAGUAUGGUGGAUAUUGAUAAUGAGAAGUGGUCUUAUUUUGAGCUGAGAGGGUAUGUCAAAGAUAUAUGGAAAGAGUUUAAGUAUGAGAACGGGUUUAGGAUGUGGUGGAUUGUUGAGGAAGAUGUUGAUUUUAAACUGGUUAGGGUUGAUGAAGAUGCUGAUGCAAUCAAGGAGUAUGCUACAUUGAAACAAAGAAAGGUUGAUAUAUACAUUGAGCAUGAUGUUAUUGACAGUGAUGGUGGUCUGGUUUUUUUCCCCAAAUAUAUAGCUGGAGAAGAUGAGGUUGGGUCUGUUAAUAGGAAAGAGAAGGAAAAUGUUGCUUAUAAGGUUGGGUCUGUUAAUGGGAAUGGGAAGGAAAAGGUUGUCUUUGAUGAAGAGUCUGAUGAUAAUAGUGAUUGUAGUAGUGAUGAUGACCUUAGAGGAUGUACACUUGAUGACAGUGAAGAUGAAAGAGAUUUAGGUUGGGAUGAUGACUUUAUAUUUGCUGAUGAGAUAGCUGUGACUGGUAAGGAAAUUGUGGAGAUAGAAACUGGUUCUGGUAGUGCUGCUGGCCCAAGUCAAUAUACACAGAUGUUAGAUGGAGUUGAAAUUGAUGCUGAGUAUGUCAGUGAUGAGUUAGGAAGUACUGACCCUGAUGAUUCUGAGAGUGAGAAAGGUCCUGUUUAUGACAAGUUUAGGAUGGAACAGCUUGGCCCAAAGUAUAAGUUUAAGGUUGGCAUGGAGUUUAAGUCCAUAAAAGAGUUUAAAGAAGCAAUAAUUGAGUGGACUAUCUUAAAUGGGUGGGAGUUGAAGUUUUUGAAAAAUGACAAAACCAGGUGUAGGGCAGUAUGUAAGAAUGACUGUGAUUUUGUUGCUUUAUGUAGUCAAGAUGGUGGGGCCCACACUUAUAGAAUAAAAACUUGGUCUGGGGUCCACACAUGUGCAAGGACAUUGGAAAAUAGAUCUGCUACCUCUAAGUGGGUUACAAAAGCUGUCCUACCAAAGAUGGUUGGUUCUUCUACUAAGUUAAGAGUGACAGACAUCAUGAAAGAUCUAAGAAGGGAUCAUGCAGUGGGAGUUACCUUUGCAAAGGCUUGGAAAGGAAAGAAGGAAGCACAUAAAAUUAUUGAUGGUGAUGCUGCCAAACAAUACACACUGCUAUGGAGGUAUGCAGCUGAGAUUUUAAGGGUAAAUGACAAAAACACUGUGAAAAUCAACACUAAAAGACCAGUACCAACACUUCAGCCAAGAUUUGGUUCAUUCUAUUUCUGCUUUGAAGGCUUGAAACUAGGGUUCUUGACUGGAUGUAGACCAUUCAUUGGUGUUGAUGGGUGUCACCUGAAGACACAAUAUGGUGGUCAAUUAUUGAUAGCUGUUGGAAGAGAUGCUAAUGAUCAAUAUUAUCCUUUGGCCUUUGGUAUUGUUGAAGUGGAGAACAAAGAAAGCUGGAGAUGGUUCUUAACACUGUUACUUGAAGAUAUAGGGACUGAGAGGAAAUGGGUUUUCAUUUCAGAUCAACAAAAGGUAUACUUCAUACUCUUAUCUAUUUUUUGUUGUUUUGUUACUUAAUUUACUUAUGAACCAUGACUAUGUAAUAAUUAUUCUAUUUUGCUUUUUAAGGGAUUGAUGUCUGUGUUUGAUGAGUUAGUUGAAGUUGUUGAACACAGACUGUGUUUGAGACACCUUUAUGCUAAUUUCAAGAAAAAGUUUGGUGGAGGGACUGCAAUUAGGGAUUUGAUGAUGGGGGCAGCUAAAGCAACCUAUUAUCAGGCAUGGGAAGAGAAGAUGAUGCAGCUUAAGGCAUUAGAUCCAGGAGCAUGGGAGUGGCUUAUGAAGCAUGAUACUAAGUUGUGGUGUAAGCAUGCAUUUACCUACUACUCUAAAUGUGAUGUUUUAAUGAAUAAUAUCUCAGAGUCUUUUAAUUCCACAAUCCUACUUGCUAGAGACAAACCAAUCAUAUCUAUGUGUGAAUGGAUUAGAACUUAUUUGAUGAAUAUAAUUUCAACUAUUAGAUCUAAGGUUGGUGCUUGGCAACAUAGGAUAAUGCCAAUGCCUAGGAAAAGACUUGAUAGGGAGGUUGCACUUAGUGGGGAAUGGAUACCAACUUGGAGAAUUGCUGAUGAAUUUGAGGUUGGGAAGUUGUAUGGAGGUUUCCAAUACAUAGUUGAUAUAGGAAAGAGAACAUGUACUUGUGGUUUUUGGGAGUUAGUGGGGAUCCCAUGCAGGCAUGCUGUAGCUGCAAUGGGAAAGAGGUCAAGGAAACCAGAAGAUUAUGUAGAUGAUUGCUACUCAAAAGAAACAUAUGACAUAUGUUAUAGCUUUAAUGUUAGUGCAAUCAAUGGACAAGACAUGUGGCCAAAUGUUGAAGUGGAAGAUAUGCUUCCUCCAACCUACAAGAAAGGUCCAGGAAGACCAAAGAAGCUAAGAAGGAGGGAACCUGAUGAACCUGAUGCCAGGAAAUAUAAGAGGCAGAAUUCAAAGUAUAGGUGCACAAAAUGCAACCAAUUGGGGCAUAACAAUAGAAGCUGUAAGAGUUCAACUGUUAACCCAGAGGCUCAGAAGAGAAAGGUAAUUUAAUUAUGGAUAACAAUAUUUACAGACAAAUAAUGAUUUAAUUAUGUAAUAAUGUGUCAAUCUUAUUUUUUUCAUAGAGGAAACCACCAAGGAAUGCAAGACAGGAUGGACAAUCAGAAUCUGCACCAAUGAAUGAUCAAACUGCACCACUGAAUGAUCAAGCUCCACAAGUGACAACUGAACCUCCUCCAGUUCAAAAUGACCUAACUGAAACUGCUCAACUUGCAGAACCUGCUAACAAUGUUGCUCCUAUUGUGCCCACUAAGUCCAGACAUAAGAAAUCAAAAACUGUGGCAUCCAAGUAUCUGUCAGCAAAGCCCAAAAAUGUGAAAACUAGAGAUGUGAAUUCAUUGUCUGAAGUUGUGGAACCUGUCAACAACUAUGUGAGUGCUCAAGCUGCCAACCACAAUGUGAAUGCUCAAGCUGCUAAGGUCCAUCGAAAGGUAUGUCUUCUCAUGUCACUUUAUUAUGCUCAAGCUGCCAAACACAAUGUGAAUGCUCAAGUUGCCAACUUUAUAUAUGUUUGGUUUUGACUGAGUGUUGAUAUUGACAGAAAAAACAUGCUGAGAUGGUCUAUGAUGUUAACCAUCUGAAAAAGAAGGCAAAGACCAUAAUGACAUGGCAUGGAAGAAGAUGUGAGCCAUCUAACCAACUGUCAGCUGCAAAGGUACCAAAAUAUAAUCUUAACAACUUAAGGAGGAGUGGCAGAACUUGUUACUUUGGGCCACAACCUAAACCAGGUGCAGCAGGAACUAUGGAGACAAAUCCAAUUGAAAUUGGGAAAGAAGAUGGGGAAUUAACUCAGGAGAAUUGAGGAUGCUUAAGUGUUUUGUGAACUUUAUUAUUAUAAUGUUAUUGUAAUGUAAUGGCCCAAAACAAUGCCUUCUAUUUUGGAUGUAAUCUAUUUUGGAUGUAAUGGCUGUUAAUAUGUCAUAUAUGUAUUGACUUGAAUGACUUAUGCCCUCUGUUUUAUGAAUGCUAAUGUCUUCAAUGACUUAUUUUGUGAAAGUUCAUUGCUAUCAUAGUUAUCACUGCUAAUGCAUCUUGUAUUUGGUUUAUCUUCGUUUUAAUAUCAUUUUUUGCCUUAAAAAAAAAAAACUAUAAAGCAGGUAAAUCAAUUCACUAUAAAGCAGGUAAAUCAAUUCACUAAGUAGUAACCAAAAUGUUGUUCAAUUUCCAUUCAGUUCAUAACAACUAUUACAAAUGUAACAACUUAGCAUAACAACUAUUAUAAAUGUUGUUGGCCAAACCAUUACAACUUUGAUUCAUAACACAUAAACUACAAUAACAACUUAAACUAUUUCCAAUUAACCAUACCACAUUACAUCAUCAAUUCUUACCAUAAACACAAAAAAAAAACCAAUUAAUCAUCAAGGCUAAUGCCAUCCACAUCACUUUGUUCCUCUCAGCCCUAUACUUUGUCUUCCACUUAUCAACUUCAAUGGACUCAAAUGUCUUCAUAAGUUCUUCAAUGUUGCUGCAUUUAGAACAAGCUUGUUGGCUAUUGACUGCUUCCAUCCCUGACCUCCCUGGCCUCUCAUGCUCCACUGACACAUCCAUAACAGGUUCAACAUGAAUCAUGGGUGUAACCCCUGGUAUAAUGUCAUCAUCCCAUAUAAACAGCUCACAAGUAUGAGCACUCUGUUACAAUUUACGACAUCAAAUAAUCAGAAAUUCAAUCAGUAGUUAUACAUCAAAAACAAGCUUAAAUAUCAAACAAGCUUAAAUAUCACUAACCCUACUAUUCCAAUUACGACAUUUCCAAAAUCUACGCCCUUGGUUCUCAUAUGUGGUAGAUAUGUACAUCUUCAUUGGAAGAUAGCACCCACAAGCUGGUAACAUUGAUUCCAUCACUUCUGGAUUUCGAGCAGCAGCAGCCCUUGCAACAUUUCUGGAACUUCCACCAUUUCUAGAAAUCGAAAAGGAAUGUGAACCUCUGCUGUUUGAGUUUCCUCCUCUGCUGCUCGACAUCUUCAACAAUCUUCUACAAAUCGAAAAGGAAUAGAACACGAAUUUCGAAAAGGAAGGAGAUGGAUUGAAAAAUUAAAGGAGAAUAUGGAAUGGAGAAGAAAGGAUUGGGUCGAUUUGGGGGAAAAUCUGAAACUAGGGUUUCUAUUUUCCCCCCUUUCUAUUAUAUACAAAUGUUUUUUUUUUUAUUUAAAAUAAGUUUUUGUUUUUUAAAAUAGUUGUUUUUAUUUUUAAAUCAUAAAUAGAUUUUCCAAAUAUUAAAAAUCUUUUUUUAAUUUUAAAAUGUUCAGUUAGAUGCCACGUCGGCACAACUACACAGUCAGCGCGCGCCACGUGUACAUUUUGGUGACCUGUCAUCAAUUAAAUGGGCCCAGGGGUAUUUUUAAAAGACAGAAUUUUUUGCAGGGAUUGAUUUCUGAAUUUUUAUUUUACAAGGACCAAAACUUAAACGGGUCAUAUUUGCAGGGACGAGUACAAUAUUUAAGCCUAUAUUAAAUUCAUUAUUCUUAUAAUCCAGUUCCCUUCUUCAAUUCAUAACAUUCAAACAAAGUGGUUGUAAAUUUAGUCUAUUUUUUAUUUGGGUUUAAAUCUAAUGGAUUGGUAUUCAAAGGUUGGCUGAAUAGAGUGAAUCGGAAGUUAUGAUCCGAUUAGAUUUUAUGCUAAAAUAGCUGAUUUAAAGUUAUGAUUUGGCUCGAGUCGAACUUUUUCCUUUAACAUAACCUUUGUUAUUGAGGUGCUAUUAAGCAUCUUUGCUUUUAUGCACUCGUUACAGAAAGAAAGAAAAAAUUGCAAUGGAGGCAAUGAGAUUUGUUUUUUUGGUCAACAUAGUGUGAAUAUUUUUGUGAUGACAGUGAGUUAGCUUGUUAAUUGGAUUUGGUUUGGGUACAUAAACAAGCUAACUCAAACUUGAAGUAAAUAAAUUUGGUUUGGGUACAUAAACUUAAUCAUGGACAUAAACUUAAUCAUGUAGACCAAGUACAAGAGAGAUUUUUUUGUGACAAUGCAAGAUAUAUUUUUUUAGCAAGAGUACAAGAGAUAUUGUCACAUUAUAAUAGUGGUGGAGUGGACACUACUAAUAUUAUUAUCACAUUUAGAACCAUUGUCACAUUAGUAGGAAGAUAAGAUCAUUAUUUUCUGCGGUAAUACAAUGAAUAUUUGCAGCAUCAUUACAGAGGGAAUGUUAUGAUGGUGCUAAAAAAAUUGGUUUACAAGAGAUGGUGAUGGUAGGUUCUUCUCCAUCAUCACAAGUUCAUCAGAGAACUUGUAGAAAUGGUUACUAGAGAGAUGGUUCUUUGGUGUUCAAAAUUCUCUAUUUGUCAUCAUCAUCAUCAUCACCAUCUUCAUCCCUGGUCUCUUCUCCGGAUAUUGAGCGCGGCGGAGAUGAGAAGUCCAAGCACAUUCCUUGGAUGACUUGCUCAUAUGACUCAGAGAGGUCUUGUGAAGUAUGUUGAUGGUACUCCACCAGCUGGUGAAGGCAUUGGUUUUCUCUCAUCAGAUUUGCAUUUUCACUGGCUAGUCUUGCCUUCUCACCAAGAAGUGCUUCCAGCUGAAGCCUCACCUACACCACACAAACCACCAUCCACAGAAGAUUAGUUCCGUAAUAAUUUGAACAAUUCAGGCUCCUAAAAUCAAUGAAAUCCUAAAAUAAUUUUUGAAAUGAACCACAUACAUUCUUCUCUUUGAACAAUUUCAGGACUAAGUUGAUCAACACAAAAUGACUAAUAUGAUAAUAUUAAUCGAAGAAUUGACCGGUUGUUAUCAACAAUGAUUCUCUUUUCUUAAAACGAUUGCAUUGAGGAUCAAAUAUAGUUAACUGAUGUUAAUUUUAAGAACCAUAUAACUAGACCCCUCCAAUUUCCAGAGAAAAUUUGUGAUUCACUCAACUUUACAUGUAACAAAUCCUAACUAUGUCCAAUGUCAAUGAAGUAAAAAAAUGUAACAAUAUUAGUUGCAUUAGAAAUACAAAAAUGAUAUAACAUCACUAACUCUUUAGCAGGAACUUUUUCAAAUUCUUUUAACCAUAUGGUAUGAUUAAGAUUGAAUGGAUUCCUUACCAGAUCAUCUUCCUCAGGCCUGACUCCUUUAGCGAAACCGUCACGCAGUCUUCGGUUCUCUUCUUCAAGCAGACCACAUCUUUCUUGCAUAAAACAUAAAUCUGAUUUAAGAGACUUCAAUUCUCUUGCAAGUGUAGCUGCUUUGCUUGCCAUGGAAACUGCAAUCUGCAAAAAUGAAAACAAGUUACAAUUGGCCACAAACUUCAGUACCAAUAUAAUCUACUAACUAGUACUAGUACAAUAGUUGAUAAUAGGAGGAAAAAAAAACAAAGAACCAACAUUUUUUGCUUUCUUGAUAUGCUUUUCAUGCAUUUUUCCCCCAUUUUCUGUUUGUGACUCUGUAACAUUUUCUUCAUAGAAUUCAUCAAUUUUCCUCUUUACUCCCUGUUUUGACUCCUCUUUCUCUUCCUCUUCUCCAUUGUUUUCUGACUGAUCAAUUUUGCUUUUGAAUAUAUCAGUUAAUGUGGGUGGAUUCCCCAAUUCUCUUGCACCCUAUGGAAAAAUAAUGAGUGUUUAAAUUUAAUGGUACUACUAAAAAAUCUUCAUCAGGUCUCAGAAUAUAAGCAAAAAAAUUAUCAAAUAAAGUAGAUGUAUUUGGUUCAAAUUUCUAAGAUAUAUCAACUUAUAUUUGAGACGGAGUAAUAAUAUAAAUUCACUUUCAAUAUUCAGUUACAUUACACAUCUAAUGCUGCAGAUUUCUCUUGCAAACUCAAUAAAACUAAAACAUUAAUUAAUAAACUAAAACAUUAAUUAAUUGAAUCUAUUAACAUUAAAUUGUAUAGUACUUACUUGUAAGGCAUUAUCCAAAUUAUUAGACAAAAGAGAGAGUGUAUUAGAAACUGAAUCAAACCCUCUUAUGAGUAACAACGAAUCUUCCUUCAAUUGCUUUCCUCUUUCAUUAUCUGAGAUUUUGGGUUGACCGCGUUUAUCGAGAAGCGAGUCAAUUCUACAACGGAGAGUGCUCCAGAAGCGUUUAUCAGAAGAUGGAGUGAACUGAGGAGAAGAAGAAUUAACAACGUUUGUAUCAUCCUGUUGUUGUAAUAACGCGUUAAUUUCAGAAACAUGACAUUAAAAAACAAAACAAAACAGCGAUGUUUGUUUUUUUAGAGUAAGAGGAAAAACCUGUUUGAUGUGAAGAGGAGAAGGAGAAGCUGUGUCCAACGAGGUUGUCAUGGUGUUUCAGAAUACAGAGAGAGAGAGAGAGAGAGAGAGAAGAGUGAGAUAAGGUUAACUAACGGCUAGUUUUGAAAAGAGAGUUUCAUUGAAUUGGAGGAUGAGGGUUUUAUUUAAAUAGAUAGAUAACGUUCGGAUAUUAACUUUGAAAAGUGGGUAGUAUUUUUUCAUAAUAAUCAAAACCAAAAUAUCAGCAAGGAAAUUUUUUUGAUUCGUGUUUUUUAAAUUGAGAGACAUAUUUUUGUAGACUAAAAAAAAUGUUGGGAUGCCCAAAAAAAUUGUAUACCUUUCUAAUGCUCUUGAAAGUUAAAUGAUUUUGAAGUUGCAAUGAAAUUGCAAUUGCAACCAUAUUAGAGAGUGCAGUUGUCGCACAAUGGUAGAACUCAUAAUUGUUUCUCAAUUUACAAUCAGAAGAUAACUUUCAAGAUUAUCGAAACAUAACAUCCGAAAGCAUUGGAACAUAAUUUCCAAGAGCAUCAGAAAGCAACUUCAAAUGAUUAUUAUGUACAAGAAAUUUUUUGCAAUUUUAGGGGGUUGUGAUCAAUGCGGGGGCCUAAAGAGCAACUUAUUCUAUUAUUGGGCUAUGACCAACCGCAAGAGAAGGCCCGGUAUAAAACACAGUAUGAUCUCAAAAAAAAAAAUAAUCAAAUAAAGUAACACGAUAUGCUUCUGAUAUAUAAAUCUAAACUAUAAAUUUAGAAGAAAGAAAUCCUUAUUCUCCAUCAGGGUUUUUCAUCUAAGCCGUCGUGUACUCGAUAACUGCCGUGUAUCUAUUGUUUCCAGCACCAGUUCUAAGGUGGCGUCUUUCAUUUCUCCAACUCUAUUUUUUUUCUACUUUAAAUAUGUGUAUCUUCCGUCGCAAGCAUCAUGAUGAAAUUAAUAAAAUUAAAUAUUGUUUCGUUUUGUUUGAUUGAUUAUGCUUUUAAUUUUGUAUUUGUUUUCUCAACUUCUUCUUCUUUUUAAUGACAAAUAUCAGUAAUUAGUUGUUAGAUUAGUUUUUCACCUAUGCGCGUCCUAGUUUCAGUCCAUGUCUCCAACACCUUAUUCUUUAGUGCUUCCCCCUCCCUCCAAAUUUUGUAUUCUCAACUUUGUUCGUUAUUAACUGCAGCAACAAUGAAGAGGUGCAAAAGGCUCAAGAGUGAUUUACCUGACUUGCCUGAUUGUGUUAUAUCGUACAUUUUUUCAAAGUUAAGUUUGAAGGAUUCCGUGAAAACAAGCACAUUGUCCUAACAAUGGCUUCACGAAUGGGGAUUCAGGAUGGACCUCAAUUUUGGUUUCCAUAACAUGUUUGAUUUUGAUUUCCCUAACAUGUCUGAGUUUGACGAUAAUACAAUAAUGCAAAAGUUACUAGAAAGCCUCCCACUCUUUGAAUCUGAUUUUUACACAAGAUUGGAUCAAUUCAUGCUGCAUCAUCAAGGUACCAUGAUCAGUUCAAUCCGACUCAAUUUUCCAUUAGGUGAUGAACACAAAGAUGUCAUUGAUUGAUUGAUUGAUUACCAAAGGAGUUGCUAAGGGUGUCAAACGUAUUGAACCACUCUUCUCAUAUAUAAUUAGUGAUACUUAUUUUAUUUUGAAUCUAGAGCCAUACAAAUUUUCCUUUACUCUCUUAUCUGACACCGAUUCUCUAACGUAUCUGUACCUACAAAACUGUCGCCUAGUAGCACCUAUGGAAUUUUCUGGAUUGAAGAAUUUGAGAACUCUUGUGUUGAAACUAGUUUCAGUGAAGCGAGAUAUGCUUCAUGGUGUGCUUACCAAUUGCGUCCAUCUGGUAAACAUCUUCCUCGACUAUUGCGAGUUCAAGUCUGACUUAAAAGUAAUCAGUGCAACGUUGCUUCAUUUGACGAUAUAUUGUGGGAGUAGACCACAAAGAAAGAGGAAUAGUCAUAUUUCUAAACCUGGUGGAUUUUUUUCUGAACUGAAAAAUAUGACAACGAUUAAGUUGAUUGGACUACGAGAAUGUCUUCAACAUGUUGUCAUGCCUCUUUUUUUUUUCUGAAUGUCUCAAACUUAAGAAUGUCACCUUUAUACAUUGUUGGAUCAAAUCUGAUUUGAAUAUUAUCAACUCAAAGUUGCGCCAUUUAAAGUUGAUUAAUUGUGGCUGCAAGGAACUCUAUCCUGGAAACAUAUAUAUUGAUGCAUUGAAUCUUUCAUCCUUUGAAUAUAGAAUGGGAACAUUCUUUGUUAAUGCUCCAAGGUUAUUGAAGGUAUUUUGGAAAGUGCUGAAGAGCGAGAAAAAUCAUUAUUAGCCCUUUCGUCCAAUUGCAAGAUUAUGUCAUAUUGAGACUUUAGCAAUGGUCAUGAGCCCUUCAUAGGUGAGUUGGUCAAAAUCCAUUUAUUAAUAUGUAAAUGUUAGUUACACUAACUAAUUAGUUGUUCAUUUCAUUGACAACAUAAACCUUUUUUUUUUUUAAGAAAUUGACGACAUAAACCUUAUUUAUCCCUUGAUAUAUUCAUUUUUUUUUUACCAAUUCUUAUCAUUAUCAAUAUAAUUUUCAUAAAAGAAAGUAAAAUGGAAAUAAUACUGAUAAUGAGAAAAUAUUAAUAUAUCAAGAUGGCUCAUAUAAAACAACUUAUUAGUGUGACUAACUAGUAUAACUAACAUUUACAUCUAAUACCUUGUUUACUAGUUUAUAUAUAUUGCUUCAUAGGCUAAUGUUUAAUUGCUUCUUAUUACCAAACUCAAGUCAAGAAAUAAUAAACCAAAGAAUAGACUCAUGUUUGGUGCGCUCCAUGGUGCAACCAAAUGUGCACUUAAACUCCCGAUCAAAGAAUAGAUAAAUUAAAAUAUACUUUACUUUUGUCAUUCGUCUGGAUUUUUUUUUGUACAAACCUUCUGGAUUUGAGUCUUUUUAUUCGGUCUGAUUUUAUUUUGUUUUGUUUUAUUUAAAAGAAAUUCUAGUUUUAUUAGAAUACAUAUGAUAAAAAAAUUGGUAAAAUAAUACAUAUAUUUUUAAAACGUUAAAAUGAAAUACAUUGAAAUAAAUCAAAAAGUCAUUUCAACACAAGUUACGCCAAAGAGAUUACAAAGAGUUUGGACACGGAUCAUCUCCUGCAUAAGUUUGUGCUGCCAUCCCUCAUGCGGUGAUCCAAUGGUUGAAAUUAUUUAACUAUUUUUUCUCUCUAAUCCGUGUAUGCAUCCAACGAUUGUCACAACCGCAUGACAAGAUUGACCGGAGGAGAUCCGAAUCCAAAGAGUUUACAUAGAGUCAAAACUUAAUGAUAACAAAAAAAAAGAGAAACAAAACUUAGGUAACAACAACAUGAAAAUGACUGAACCUCCAAAAAAGUAAUCAAAAUCAAAUAUAGCGUAUUUUGAUUUUAAAAAAGUUUGAAGCUUAACCUUCUCACAUAAAUGAUACAGUUGUUUUUCCUUCUGUUGGAAAAUUCUCUCAUUUCUUUCUUUCCAAAUUAUCCAUUGUCAAAAUUCAAAUAAUACUCAAAAUCAAUUGAAUAUGUUAGAAACAACCACCUAACCCAUCGAAAUGCUUAUGAAGAUGCUUAAAAUGAUCAACAAGAAAACCAUGAAACACUUUCUUCAACCCAAGCCAAGUAACCACCGACGACCAUGAUCUUUCUAAAAAAAAAUCACAAAUAAAUGGUCUAUAUCUUUAUUCAUUUUUAUUUUAUAGUUUUUGACAAAAUGUCUUCAUUCAUAUUACACCCACGUGUAUAAUAAGACAUACAAAUACUUGUUAACAAAAAAAGUCAUACAAAUAUAUUGAUAAAAUAAUACAUGAUAUAAUUUAUUGGCUGGAUUACAAAUAUUUAUACACCCACCAAGUUAUAGACAGCUCAAACAAGUCCCACCGUUCACCGACGAUCUUUAGCUUUUUUAUGUCGGUGACUGGGUUAUGACUUAGGACUUAUAAUCACAAAACAAUAAAAAUAAAUAAUUUUUAUCAUUUUAUAGAAUAAUUGUAUACAUAAAUCAUAAAAUAAACAUCACUUUUUACAGAAGAGCGAGGUCGUGGUGAAUUUACAUUAUAUUUCAAAUGGAUUCAAAACGAGCAAGAGUCCUGAUAUUUUCUCAGUUGGCUUGUCAUUAACCAAAUGCAGAUUAAAAACAGUGCUCGUACAUUUUUUUAAUGUGCCAAAUACACGAGGGUAUAUCAUCCGAAACAUGGGAACUAUGAUUAAAUGGGAUUGUCUGAGCUAACUCGUGAACAACCUGAUUAACUUGUCUCGUAUCAAACUCGACUUGAGAGUUCUAGAACCCUACAAUGCUCAUACAUGAAACCAGGAUUGCCCAAUUUUGAUUAAUGUUGUUGCAACAACUAUUGAAGCAGACAUGUGAAGAAUAAAUAGUUCACAUGUCAACAACAUUUAUAACCUACACAAGGGAUAGAAAGAGUCCAUGAAACAGAUUCAUCAAACCAAGUUAUUCUGAACGUGAAAUUCAGUUUGGACUUUGGCGUGAUCACUAAAAUAUGCUCCAAAUUUUACAGUGGAAAUUAUGAAGACAAACAAACUAUUUGAUAAAAUUGUAUACAUAAAACCGUCCUUUGCACAUCUCAGGAGUUUAAUAUCAAAUUCUAUCUUCUUGUUAUUAUUGUUCCUGUGUGAUGGGAUUCACAUUGAACCUGAGUGAUAGAGAUAGAAAAUAUAAAAAUUUCUGUUAUUAUUUUUAAUUAAUUAAAGAUAAAAAAAAUUGAACAAUUAAUUAAAGAUAAAAUUAAAUUCAAUGAUUGAGAUAAUUUUCUUUUACGUCAUGAUUGAAAUCAUUGAACUAUUGAAAAUAGUAAUUAAAAAUGUUGAGUUUACCUUCUAGAUUAAUUAGUGUGUGUUUGGUUCUGCGAUAAAAAAAUUAAUUUUGAAUGAAUUGAUUCCAAUCAAAAACGAGUUGAGUGAAAUUAUUUUUUGUUUGGAUGCAUUAAUAUGAAAGUGAUAUUGUUGUUUGGAUAGUUUGAAUCAAAAUUGAUUUUAAAUAUAUAAUUAUCAAAAUGGAUUUCAUUGUAAUUAUAAGUAUUUACAAAUACAAUUAGAUUUCAUUUCAAUUUUAAUUUGUAUCAUUAAAUUUAAUAUUUUAUAAUUGUAAAAAAAAUUAGUUAUUUAUAAAAUUGUUUUGACAAAAUUAUUCAUAAAUUAUUUAAAUCAUAUAUUAAAGGUUGCUAUGAUAAAAACGUCCUUGAAAAACGUGAAUUUAAAUUACUAAGAAAUCCAUAAUAUAAUAGGCUUUUGUCAUGUACAAAGUCAAAAUAAAUAAGACUGGGUUUAAUCGUAUAAAAUAUAUCAGCAAUUUUUUUCUAAUUAGCAAUUUAUUGUUUUAGUGAAAUUUAUGAUCCACAGGAAAAAAAAACUAUAUUGUAGCUCCUUGAUAAUUUGUUGAGUGAAACGGUAUAAGAAAAGGAUAAAUAUGUAAAAUAGAGAGCAUCCGUCAAUAAAAUAAGAAAUAAAUUGUAAUCAAUUUCCACCGUAUUUCCAAAAGCUACUAAUACCAACUUCUACUCGAAUUGCUUUUACAUGCCAGAUUCAAUUUUAAAAAUAGUUAUCCAAACACCAAUUUUUUUAGCAAACUCAUUUUUAAGAUUUUGAAACUCACGUUUAUGACUUCCCACCACACAACCAAACAAAGACUAAUUUGGUAAGCAAUUUUUAAAUUAUUGUUGUUGGUGUCAUAAUCAUUAAAUAUAGUUACGACUGAUGUGGUGUGGUGGUGUCCUGUCUAAUCUUUAGUUGUUUGUAUUACUCACUCAUAUUAUAUGGAAUAUGGUGAUUGGUGCCAAAAUGAAAUACUAGUAAAUGAUGGCUCAAAAUGUUCUUAAAUUGGUGCAACUAGUGUAAGCAAAAAAAAAUUGCAUUGUCUUGUACUACAAUUAAGGAUAAAAUUAUUUAGUUGUUUGUAUUAUCAUUUACAAUGGUAAAAUAAAUUCAACAAUCUUCAACAUCCAUUUUUUCAAUUCCCAACACUCCACAUCAUUUUAUCUCUCUUAAUUCAACAUCCAUUUAAUUUUUACCUCUUCAAUAGUUUUUUCAUUCAACACUCUACCCCACCACUUUUUAUUUCUUAUUCUUAUUCUUAUUUAAUUUUAUAUUUUUGUUUUUAUAAUUACAUAAAAUUACAAUUAUCGAUUAUAAUUAAAUUAAAAUGAAGAAACAUUUAACAAUUUUUUUUUUGUAAAAACAAAAUUUAUUUAAAUAAUUUAUUUUUAUUUUCUUAACUUAAAAUGCAAUACAACAAACUAAGCACGGGUCACACAAAUAGCUUAAAACGCUAAUGAUAAGAUUAAGAGAGUGAAAAACUUGGUUUUUUUUUUCUGUGUCCAAAUCAAAUGAUCUAAAUCUCUAUUUAUAGAGAAAAAAAAAUCACGAAUUUUGGUAAAAAAACAAAAAUAUCUGCGAUGAAAUAAUUGAAUCCAAAAUAUUAAGAUGAUAAAAAUUUAAGCAGCCAAUAGAAACCAGCCACGUGUCCACCCGCGUCAUAAUUCAACUUGUUUAAUUCAUUCAUCUACUCUCACCUUCACAUCAUUUUUUUACCAUUUUCAACACUCACAUGCAAUGCUUUCAACAUGUUGAAGCUUGGUUUCAACAAGCUAUUGCACUUGGUCUUAGACCAUCCUCAAUGGUUAAACACAUUCAACACCAUUCAACAUCCACUUUUUCAAUUCCCAACUCAAUGAUGGUAAAUUAAAAUAAUACAAUUAACUAUUUAUUUUUUAGUGUUUUUGGAAAAACAAAAUUUUGUAAAAUAAUUUAUUAUUGGGAUACAUUUCACUAAAAAUAAGAUUAAAACUUCACUUAGUUUGCUAAUAGAAAGAUAAUAAUUAGAUGAAGAUAGUGAAAAACUUGGUUUUUUUUCUGUGUCCAAAUCAAAUGAACCAAGUCUCUAUUUAUAGAGAAAAAAAAUCAUGAAUUUUGGUAUAUAUUUUUGGCUUAAUUGCACUUUUCCCCCCUAUAGUUUGCCAAUUGUGCGAUUUUGCACCCCAUAGUUUUAAACGAGCGAUUUUGCCCCCUAUAGUUUUCCCCCUUUCUGAUUUUAUGGUCCCCAUGACAUUUAGUGCUGAUGUGUCUGUUUUUUUUAUCAAUUAACGUGUGCCACGUGUGUAAUUCCAUUUUUAAAAAAAAUAAAAAAAUGGUAUUUUUCAGAUUUUCAGCACUAAAUUCUAUUGUUGGUCACGUGCCUCCUUCUCUCAAAAUCUGAAAAAUACCAUUUUUUUAUAUUUUUAAAAAUGGAAUUACACACGUGGCACACGUUAAUUGAUAAAAAAACAGACACAUCAGCACUAAAUGUCAUGGGGACCAUAAAAUCAGAAAGGGAGAAAACUAUAGGGGGCAAAAUCGCUCGUUUAAAACUAUGGGGUGCAAAAUCGCACAAUUGGCAAACUAUAGGGGGGAAAAGUGCAAUUAAGCCUAUAUUUUUUUUUAAAUUAAUUUACAAUGAAAUAAUUGAGGUCCAAUUAUUAAAAUGAUAAGAAUCCAGACAACCAAUCAAAACGCAACACGUGUCCAUAUCUAUCCAAAUUUCGUUUUCUCUCUCCUUCCUCUGCAGUCUCACGUGUGUUGUCGGCGCGUGUGCUACACGCGCCAGGUUUCAGCCAAAGAGAAAGUGACGCGUGGCAAAUCUUGCAGGCUUCAAUUGUGUUGAAUGUAUUCAUCAUCUCUCUCAUCCAUGUCACAAUUCAACACACUUUCAACAAACCAUUGGAGCUUAAAGACAUGUUGAAACUCACUUUCAACAAACCAUUGGACAUGGUCUUACUCACUCAUAUUAUACGGAAUAUGGUGAUUGGUGCCAAAAUGAAAUACCAGUAAAUGAUGGCUCAAAAUGUUCUUAAAUUGGUGCAACUAGUGUAAGCAAAAAAAAAAUUGCAUUGUCUUGUACUACAAUUAAGGAUAAAUUUAUUUUCUGCCAUUAUACUCGUGUAUAAAAGCUUGUUUUUGACGGUUCUCCUGAGUUUAACUCAAUUGGUUGUGACAAUGUAUAAAAUAUGUGAGGUUUGGGGUUCGAACUCCGACCACUACAAAAAAAAAAAAAAAAAAAAAAACUUGUUUUUGACUAUUGAAUCAAUAAAUCAUAUCAUAUUUAUUGAUUUAAUAAUGAAAAUGAAUUAUUUAUGAAGAACUUAAUUGCGUUUUCACUUUUGUUUCGAAGGAAUUGUGUUUUCAUUUUAGAAGCCAUCGUAAAAAGGAGGAAAACAAUUUAUACCCAAGUCAGUUUCUUUGACCUCUUUUAUCAUAAACUAUUUUUUUUUUACAAAAAUCAAUGAUAUUCAUUCAUUCAAAUUGAUAUAGUACAUCGAUACAAUGCAAAUUCGUUAAAAACAAAUAAGAUGAAUUUGCGAACAAACUCACAUCAUCCAUGUUGACAACAUAAAACGGAAAAGUACAAAAGUCUAGACAUAUGAUCAUAUUCAAGUCUUCGGAAUACACAUGAUCCGAAUUUGCAACGUGGACGACGCUAAUGUCAUUGACUGGAUCUGCAGCGGAUCAAAGCUGAUCUGACAAUCUGAAACGAACAAAUACGUGAACGAAACAAGAAAAACAAACAACGCCACAUCAAGACGAAUUAGAGGGCUGAUUUAGAUAAAAAAAAAAAAAAAAAUUGACCCUAAAUUAUUUCUUUUGGUGGACAAAAGAGAAGAAACUAAAGUUUUUGUGACGGUUCAGAGAAGAGAAAGGGAAGAGAGAGGGAUGUUGAAAUUAAGUUUAUCUUAAACUUUUUAUAUGUGGUUUUAAUUGGAAUUUGAGAAUUAUUAAGUUAAUCGAACGGAGAGAUUUAACGUUGAAAGAUUGAUUUUUCUAUCCACUAAAUUACUAAAAAAAGUAAUAUUAUUUUUUCACAAAUUUGUAUUAGAAUCUUCAUUCCUUCACGGCGAAAAAUAUUCUUGUCCACUUUAAGCAAACACCUGAUUGUCGAGUAGAUUUCGUAUUCCAUUAAAUUACGGGACAAUAAUUAUCCGCAUCUCAAUCAAAUAAAUAAUAUCCGAAAGCAAAAAAACGAAAUUCAUGAACCUACAAUUUUGAAGCAUGGCAAACAUUAUACAUCGCAUAUAAAGCUGGUUUUGUCAUUUUAUGUGACAGCAUUAACAUUGCACAUAUUCUUCAACGCUUGUUCAAACCUUUCACUCUAACCACAAAACCCAUGGAGGCAUGACCACUACUUUUUCUUUUGUGUAGGAGUUUUAUUUACUUUAUUUGCCUCAUCUUUCUUUUAAUAAAGAAAUCAACCUAUACCCCCCACUUAAUUAUAUAGAUCAAUCCAUUUGUGAUAACCAAUAUCUAUCUGCUAUUUAUAUUUAUACAUUUUUCACAUUUACUAGUUAGAAAUUAAAGUCACAAUAAAACAUUUAGAGGAUAUAUGUAGUUACCAACUUUAAUUGGACAGAUAGUGACCACUCUUCUCGGAAAAAAAAAAAUAUUUGAUGGUCCGAUGUUCGACGAGUGAGUAUAGAGGUUAUACUUAAUUAUUAAUACUAAUAAUCGGUUUAAAAUCUCAAUUCAUCCAACUAAAAAAUGAGUUAAACUCCAUUUUAUCGUCUUUAGUGUAUCCUAACGAAUAAUUAUUUCAAACAAGAAUCAUGAUAUUUUAAUUUCAUUUAUAUAUCUUUAGUAGUUAAUUUAUCUUGGUGGAUAUUUGUGGGGUCCAUGGUAAGGUAAUUAAAAAAAGAAAGCACGUUGAUUAAGGCUUAGCACCUACUUUUGUUAGCAAUGAACAUGGAAGGUAUAGUAGCGGUGUUAUUAUUUGAGAUAUAAUUAAUUAAAGAAAGAAGUAAAAAAAUAAUAAAGAGCAAAGCUUUAUUAUCUUUAUGAACAUGAAUGUCCACUGUGUAGAAACAGAAACAAACAACAUGAUCCAAAAAAAGAAAACAAAGAUGGCGCAAACACAUACUUCAUGAUUUUUCUGUCUUUACAACAACAAACGCUUUUUGCGCUUCAUUCAUAUUUUAUGUAACAAAAUCUGCAAUCAACACUACUUCAUUAGAAUUAUUCAUUAUUCCUUCAUAAUUUGUGAGUUUCUUUCUUUGUUUCUAAAAUCACUUGCAUUGGACCUUUAGUAUAGAUAUCUUUAUUUAUUUUCAUUUGAUUGUUGAAUUUAGUUGCUGUUCUCUUAUUUUUAGUUCUCCUUUUUGUGUUUAUUUUACUGGUAAUUUCUUCUUUUUUAUUUUCUGGGUGAGAGGGUUCAGGGUAGUUUCAAAGUUUUUGCAGCUGAAAAAGCUUAAAAAUUCUGUCUUUUUUAUGAAACUUGUGUUAAUAUUUGCUUUUUAACUUCUGGGGUGGUGGGGUGGAAGUGAAAUUUAUCUCUUUGAGAUCUGGGUUGAUUUGCAGAGAUAAUAACAAUGAGCAAAUUUGGUAUGUAAUCUUUUUGUUGGAGAGAAAAUUGUUGUUAGAAAUUUGGUUCAACUAGAGUGGACUUGUUGUUGAUGUUAGUUUAUGGUUUGGGACUAGAGACUUGAGAUCUAGGCACUUUUUGGUGCCUAAUUAAGGAGCUACUUAGAUCUAACCAAACAUAAAGUUACCUUUCAUAGAAAUCCUAUGUUUGUGUGUAAAGGUUUUUUUUUUUUUUUUUUUAUAUCCAUGUUAUAGAUAAGAUGUAUCCACCUAUCGAUUGUUGUUUAACAAAUGACUAAUCUUUGUUGGGGAACCUAUUGGGCACUCAAGGUGGGUUCUCCCCUCCCAAUUGAGUUUUCUCCAUUCACGAGAAUCAGAGAUCGAAGAUCAAAGGAUUUUAUAAAAUAAUAAGGGCAUCUAUGCAUAUGGCAUAGUGUAUGUGUCACAAUUUUUUAGGGGGGAGGAGAUGGAGUGAGUUGUGAGUGAGGUGAUUGGAAAUGGAGAAUUUCUUCCGUGGUUAAGUCGAUGCUUGAUAGACUGUUUUGAAAAGACUUGAGAACUAAUUUUAAUUUGCUUGUUUAUGGUUUUUAAUUUGUAAAUAAUUCCUUAUAAACUUAUAGGCGUUGGCCUUGUAGAAGUUUAAUGAGAGAGUUUCUGAAAAAAUUGAGACACAAAAGUAAUAAUAACUUAAUAUUAGAAGUUAUUACAUAAAAUACUCUUAGUUAUUGUGUAUAUUUUUUUAUUUAUUUUUUGUAUUUCUUUCUCUAUAUGUGCCUGCGGAGUUUAUCCAAAUUGGCUCUAAGCUUCACUUAUCCCUUCUCUAAAUCAUGACACGAUGUGAAGUAACUUUUAUUUCAACGGACUUAAUGAUAUUUUGUUUGUUCUAAUGACAUGUUAUUAGUUUAAACUUUAUCAUGUUGAUUAGUGACUUGAUCCCCCAAUAGUGUUGAAAAUGUGCAUUUCACUUAUCGAUUGUACAUUUCUUUGCAGCUUGGAUAUGGUGACUUUGGAGCUUGAAACCGAUGAUGUAAGCUCGGAUAUAUACCUUUCACUCGGGCUUAAAGAUUUGGAUAAAGGUGUUGGAGUUCCGCGGGUUUUGUCACUUCUCUCAUCCCUUCUUGAGAGAUCAGUUCAGAAAAAUGAAAUGCUAGUAGAGACAGAGCAUAUAGAAGAUGUUGUUACAGUGUUUCAUGGUUUAAGUGCACCUACUUUGAGUCUUCGCAAGUACAUUGAUCGUAUCUUUAAGUACUCAGGUUGCAGCCCGUCCUGUUUUGUCGUGGCACACAUAUAUGUGGAUAGAUUACUUCAGAACACAGAGAUCAAAUUGACCUCACUUAAUGUGCACCGGCUUCUGAUAACCAGCAUUAUGCUAGCAGCAAAGUUUAUGGAUGACGCGUAAGUGCAAGUUUGGAAUUGAAUAAAAUGCACAUCAAUAUCUCAAUGCUACUAUUUGUUUUUCCUAAUGAUGGAUAUCUUGGUGUUUUGCCUAAUAUUUAUAUAUUUGUGGGCCAUAUAUGGUCAAAAUUCUAUUAGUAUGACUGCUCUAUCUGGUUGAAAAUGACAGCCCACGGGUGAUGACAACCUUAGCAAUAUUAAAAUAUGUUAAACCAAAUGAUCAAUUUGACAUUUUGAUUAGCUUUCAUUUUCAUUAUUUUUUUCUAACUGUUAACAUUGCUCUCUAUUUGGUUUUCAGAUUCUUCAACAAUGCUUACUAUGCAAGAGUUGGAGGAGUAAAGACAUGUGAAUUGAACAGAUUGGAAAUGAGCUUUUUGUUUGGUAUAGAUUUUAGACUUCAGGUUAGUGUAGACACAUUUCAUAAAUAUUGUUGGCAAUUGGAGGAGGAAGGUCUAGAAACACUUCAAAUUGAAAGACCAAUGCAGGCUUGUAGAAUUAAAGAAAGUUGGUCAAACAAAGAUGACCCUUCAUGUGCUUCGACAAUUGCAAGAUGGUAGUGUGUAAGCACCACACAAUGUAUCAUUUCUGUUCCACAAUUAAAUGAAUUCAAAGAAAAAAGAUUGCUACAUACACGUCAUUAGUAAUUCAACCAUAUUUUUUUAAGGACACUUGUGAUUUGUUCUACUUCCAUUCCACUGUAACUUUUUCUGUUUCUUUCUUCCUGCUUUGCCCUUGUUUGUAAUUGCAAUCGUGUAAUUGAGUAGAGAUUGUGAUGAAACUUUCAUCCCUUGCGGUUUGUUUUGGUUUCCUAUAGUGCAUGUGGUUGUUACAUAGUCUUCCUUGAAAGCAAUAUAUCGUUUGAUAUUUUUCUGAUUAGGAAAAUGAAUUGAUAAACAAUUUGUUACUCUUCCACGCAAAGCAUAAAUUCUAUAACUUCUUGAGGAAAGUCACAAGGUUGUUGAGAUGCAUCAUGCUGGUUCCAUUCAAUUCAUCAUCACACUAUAAUAAUGUUAGUAUGAUAAUAAUGUUGGUAUGAUGCAUACAAAAUCCUAUGGUACAACACUUGUAUACAGACACAACGUGUUACAUCAGACCAAAAAAUAAUUACAUGGUAAUAACAAGAAGCAUCUAUUGCUUCAAAUAAUUUGUUUAGUGUGCCUCAAAUCUUCAUAAAAAGUUCGUGACACCAUUCACAGUCGUAGUAUAUCAGCAUGCAGGAUUGAGUUCUGUAGUCUGCACCUGGAUUUCUCUAGCGUAAUUUUCAGCUCAAGCUUCAGAGUCUUGCUUCUUGGCAAACAUCUGACUUCACCUAGGAGGCCUCUCCAAUGAAGUCCAACCAAACCUACCUUUUCUAAAAUCUGACAAGACACGGUAUGCUGCUUGAUGAACAUCUCCAUUGAACAAAUGAAGCGCAAGUUUCUCUAUGAAUCUACAAUGAGGUAAAUACAUGAUAUCUAAUUAAGAAGAAAUUACUGAUAGAUUAAGAGACAUUAGCACUCUGAACUAUAAACUCUAAAUGCAAGAAAAGUGUGUGUGUGUGUGUGUACAUGAAUAAAAUAACAUUAGGAAGAAAAAAAAAUCACCGGCAUACAUUUUACCACAUUCACUGUCUACACGAAACUUGUAUCGUUUACAAAGGGCAUCUCGACCUGCAUUGAACAAAAGCUUUAAGUUUUUGAACAUUGAGAUCAGGUAGCUGUAAUUUUUUAUUAACCAAAAUAUGAUUCCAAGGGAUGCAUGUCAUGAUAAUGCAUACCUACUGCUGGAAGCUUUGUAAGCAUCUGAACAAGAAUUGCAGCAACAUCAGCCACAUCAUAAGACCUCUCUCCAAUGUCAUCACAUAUGGCAAGUUUUAUAGCUGCUGACUGGUCACUGAUUCGCAUUGGAAGUAUCCCAGGAGAAUCCAGCAACUCAAGAUCUUUCCCAAAUCGAACCCACCUUUCAUAUUAAUGAAAUAAUACAAUAAAUCAUGUACUCGGUAUGUUAUUAGAGAUCCACCAUUGUUUCUUGCUUGAGCCCAGAAUUCUAGCUAGAAAUAAAUUAACUGUGAUAAACUUUUGCAGGAAACUGAUUUCGACACUACUUACACAUAACAGAAUAUAUCACCGUUAAAUUCUUCCUCUGUUGAGAAUACAUAAAACCUUAAAAACUAUAUUUUCAAAAGAACUUGCCACCGUUUUAUUUGGAUAGGGAAGCAUAGGAAGAAACCGAAAAGCUAAUGAACAGCUAGUAUUUUUUAUAAUUGGUUUUUACAAAUAAACCUAAGUCGAUUAUACAUUUUUCACUCUGAGCGUAACCUAAAAUAAAUAAAAUACUAAACAUGGAAAACAACAACAUUUCCUGGAAUGUUAACUUGGCCAAAUAAAUUGAUUAAUUGCGACUUACGUUGGCAACAAAAUCUUUUUGACACUGUUACCACUUAAAACAAAAUAAACCAGCAUUGGCUUUCCUCUGUUGAGAUCAAGAAAAACCCCAGAAGUUGCAUUUUUCGGCUUAGGGAUUUUAUUUUUCCGCUGAAUAUCAAGAGACAGGUUGCGUCCAUUAGGACUUGAAGUCCGUUCAAAUUUUUUGAUGUUUUAGUUGUGUGUGAGGGAGGGCUGUUCAUGAUAACAUUAUGGGCAUGUUUAAAACAAAAAACAGGCUAAGUGCAGCUCAACACUCAAAAGUACCAACAUUAGUGUCAGGAAACAAGUAAAACAAACUACUAAUAAAGUCAUUAACAAUUAGAAAUGUUAUGUUUCCGAAGAUAUUUAAGGAAACAAAAUAAACCAGCAUUGGCUUUCCUCUGUUGAGAUCAAGAAAAACCCCAGAAGUUGCAUUUUUCGGCUUAGGGAUUUUAUUUUUCCGCUGAAUAUCAAGAGACAGGUUGCGUCCAUUAGGACUUGAAGUCCGUUCAAAUUUUUUGAUGUUUUAGUUGUGUGUGAGGGAGGGUUGUUCAUGAUAACAUUAUGGGCAUGUUUAAAACAAAAAACAGGCUAAGUGCAGCUCAACACUCAAUAGUACCAACAUUAGUGUCAGGAAACAAGUAAAACAAACUACUAAUAAAGUCAUUAACAAUUAGAAAUGUUAUGUUUCCGAAGAUAUUUAAGGAAAUAAAAUGAAUAAAUUACCUCAAGUCUCUUGUAACUCCUGGCCUUGGAGCUGCUGGGCACAUUCUUCUCUUUAACAAACGGUUGAUCAGAGAUGAUUUUCCCACAUUAGGGUAUCCAACUAUUCCAGCUCGAACCUAUUCAAUAGUAUCAUGAAAUAUCAUUAUAUAAUAAUGAUAACAAUAAUAUUUUGAGAAACAUUUGUGUAUUAAAUGCAAUGCUUUUUAAAUAAUUAAAGCAAAAGUUUUUAAGUUUCUGAAGUUCAUGACAACAUCUACUUCCAUAGUACAAAAUAAUGCACAUUAACAAAAUAACAGUUGAAUAGAAUUAUGAAACAAAAGACGAUGUAACAUGAAUAAUUUAUUCAAAAUCUAAUAGUAGCCGGGAUAACUCGAUUAUAUGCAUAACUUAUAAUUUGUACAACUAAUUGAUAAGCUGAUAAAGCCUUUAUUUUGUAAAUAAGAAAUGCAAGACAGGCACUAGAGAGAGAUUGUAAAGAGAAAUCAGCAAAAUAUUACUUUCGUUGCAUCAUGUACAGAACAGCAAGUGAAAUUUAUUAAAAGAAACGAGAAAAUCUUAAGAUUCAUAUAACAUUCAUAAAACAAUGUUAAGGAGCUGCGGGAAAGUUGUAGGAAUAAAUUUAGCUGCAAAAUCAUACAUUUCCUUAUUCCUAGAGAUGGAAAAGUAGUCCUUUUAAGUCAAAAUUGAGUUGCAGAAACUAGUAUAUCCCUACAGAAAUAAGUUAUUUCUUUCUCCAAUAAACAAUAUGUUUCCUUAUUCUUAGAUAUAGAAAAGUAAUCCUCUUAACAUAAAAUUAGCACAGGAAAGCGGAAAAGAAAAAGAAAGAAAAAAUCACGUAUGCAAUUGCUAGAAGCAACCUACCGGACGAGGAAGUAGACCUUUGGCUCUCCGUUUAACAUUUACAUCAGCUGCUAAUUCCUUUGCUAACCGGCAUAGCUUCAAUGUGCCCUGUACAUAAAGCAUAGGAUCAGAUAUGUUGGACAAGGGAUCUUGAGAACACGGAGAGGUGGAGGAGAAAAGAUCUUGUUUGGAUACCAACCAUUCCAAGCUGCCCAUUGGAGAAGACAACCUUUGUUCCAUGCCUAGUAAAAUACUCUGCCCAAGCAUUUCGAUCUGCAGUUGAUAUCAUGUCUUCUCUAUUUAAAACCAAAAUUCUCUUUUUAUUACCAAGCCAUAGAUCCAUCUACAAAAGCAAAGGUAACAACUUAAUGAAAAAUUAAGAGGUAUCGUCGUAGUACAAAAGGCCUAACUACUGUAUUUGGAUGCACGAUAUUUUAUGCCCAAUUAAGAAGCAUUGUGUGACAUUCAUAAAUUUUUUAAACAUUGAAUUGGACAAGCAGUUAUUACUUAUGAAACAAAUAGUGUAAAAUGACGUAACACCGAUGGAGUGUUUGAAAGAUCUUAUCUAAUAACUAAGCUUUUGCUAGUGUUCGAAAAAACUUACGAAAAUGGCUUAUAGAUAGCUUAUGAAGAUGACUUAAGAUAGCUUGUUGUAGAAACAAGUUAUAUACAAGCAAUUAUAUGAUAAACAAUUGUUGAAUAGGUGCUUAAGUUGAUUACCCAAACAUCCCCUGGAUGAUAAAAUGUACCAAUCAGGUAACGAAACCAAGAGCAAUGAUAGAGAAUUAAAUACCAAAAGAAUUGAAUCAAAUACAAAUUAGUUAAGACAGUGAGUACAGAGAAAUGUUGUGAAAUAGCAGCAUUUGCGGCACUACAACGCUAUAGCAUAGCAGAGUUUUAGCAAUCAGCUAUUGUUCCACAAUACGCCAUUUAGCACAGAGUAUUGUCAAAUAGCAGCUAUAGUAGGGCAGCUAUAGUAGGGCUGAAUUUGAACAAACCGCUAUUAUCAGCAAUCCGCUAUAAUUCGCUAUAGACAGCAUUGGUACAUAGAAUAAAGGUAUAUACGGAAAAUGAAAUUUUUUGGUGUUAACUUACCUGUGGAUGGCUUGUGGACAACGGAAUUCGCCCGUCUCGUACCUCUAUAACAACAUCCAUCAACUUAAGCUGUUCCUUCAGUUCCUUUUCUGCUUUUGCAAUAUGCCCAGGAAACCACUGUCCAAUACCAAGGGGUAAUCAGCACUCAAAGUUUCGCAAUGAAGCAACAACCAUCACACACAUAAAGUCCACAUACUAAAUACCUGCACAGGUCGUAAAACCUUUGUCCAGUGAUAAAGAUCAGUGUCAAGACCAGUCCAAAGAUCGGUCCCGGUCCCUCCUUCGGAACCAUCAAAUGUGUUGUUGCCAAUUAUCUACAACAUUGAGUGUGUGACAUUAGAGGUAGUAACAUUGUUAAUAAUCUAAAGGUUGCGAUUGAUUGAUAGUGAAAAAAUAUAUAUUACGGUGACAGUGGAUAUUAAUUUUUUGAGGAGUGUUAUUUGAACAACCAUUUUGUAGGACAACUUGUGGGACAACCAAAAUAUAGUAAGAAAUGUGAAUCUUGGCACAAAAACCAAAGCAAUAGAGAGAGAAAAUGAGAAUAUGAUGUAAGUAUGAGAGAGAAAGUUGUCACAAAAAUUGUCACAAAAUGGAUGUUCAAAUAUCAUUUCUCUAAUUAAUAUACAUUGUCAGUUCACUAAAAAAAAAUUAGAGAAAUGAUAUUUGAACAUCCAUUUUGUGACAACUUUUGUGACAACUUUAUCUCUCAUACUCACAUCAUAUUCUCAUUUUCUCUCUCUAUUGCUUUGGUUUUUGUGCCAAGACUCACAUUUCUUACUAUAUUUUGGUUGUCCCACAAGUUGUCCUACAAAAUGGUUGUUCAAAUAACACUCCUCUAUUAAUUAAUUCCAAUAAACAUAACUCAAAUUAGGAUUUAAUUUAUAAAUACUGACAGUGUAAAACUCUUUUAUACAUGCAUCCAACCAAAAGACUCCACGACGUUCAUCGAUGCAAGUGUAAAACUAUUUUACACUGACAGUGCAUUUUCUAUUUUGUCUAAAUUGUGAGUUUGGGUAUAUAGAAUUACAAGUUCAUAACUUGAAUUCUGAAAACAUGAAUUACACAAGAAUGAAGGAACACGUGAAAUUCAAAACAUAAGAAAAGUGAAGAAUGAAUUUUGGGUUACCUGAAUGGUGGGAUACUGAGAUUGGAGGGUUGGUGUAGCAGCGAGAGGUGAAGUGGAGAACCUGCUACAGCGGGUGGGAAUAAAUUGUGGAGAAAUUGAAAUUGGUGGAGAUGGAGAAUUUGGAAGCCAUAAGCGUGAUGAUGAUGGUGACGAUGAUAGUUGAAAUUGAACACUCAUCACCAUGUUUAUUGCUGCUAGUGCUACUCUUGAGUUUCGUUUUUUGAUAUAAAUUCAAGGGAAGAUGCUCAAAAUAUACAUUAUCUUUUUAUUUGAAGAAAAAUAUUCAUUACAUACAAUACAAGCUGAUUUUUUCUUUUUUUCCGUAAAAUAUUUUAGAUUGAAGAAGUAAAAAAUGAUAUGCAUUGUUUAGUAUUUGGGAUAACGUUUAUCUUGUGAGCUUUGGGUUUAACAUAAAUAUUCGUUUUUUAUUUUUUUGUAUAUGCUUGAAAUUUAUAAAUAAAUAAGUUAUACAAUAAAUGUUAAUAAAUCUAUAAAGGCAUUUGUUAAAUAACUAAAUUGAGUAAUGAUAUUUGUGAGAUUCUUUUUCUGGUGUAAAUCGGGUAUCAUAUGCAUGUGUAACUAUGGAGAUUAAUCCAUCGAGCUUUGUGGGACCCAAAUUGACGAUAAACUCUUCCCAAGAGUUUUAACAUUGCUGCAUGUCUAAGGUUUGAUUUGAACCCAUGACUUUGGUUAAACUAAAAGAGACGUGUCAUCUCAUUUUAAUUUUGUUUUGUUUGUAUAUAGACUUUCAAACUUCAAAUCUAAUAUUUAUAUGCAAACAUGGAUAAUGGAUCAUAGAUUUGAAGACCAAAAGCUCACAAAGAAACAGAACCAUAGUUUUAAAAAGAGAACAUAUUUGCCUAAGUUGCUACACUUGAUUCAUGCUGUUUUGUCAUGUUUUUUUAAGUCAGCCUCUUUUGACUGUGUAAAGAUUUAAAAAGAGAACAAAUUUGCCUCAAGUUGUUACACUUGAUUCAUGAUGUUUUGUCAAUGUAGAUAGCUGUUUCUUAAUAUACAAGUAACACAGUAGCAGGCUAGCAGCUUGUUAUGUAAAUAAGAAACCCCAAGAGUAACAACACUUGGGUAUAUCACGUAAUGAGAAUAUACAAAUGUAGUGCACUUUAUCAUCGAUUAUAACCACCGAUAAUUUAAGACCAAACUCAGCAUUCACAAGCCUAAAGAAAGACCAAACUAUCUUGAUACUCAGCCAAAUAUAUAAAUAUGAUUACUUCAAUAGAAUUGACAUUUUUACUGUCAAAAUAACAUGAAGUACAGUUCUGGACCCUUGUAAUUGUUCUAAAAUAUAAUGACUUUCCCUACCAAUCAACUAUAUAUUUGAAAAUCUACAAAAUCACGGUGCUCCUGUGCAAAUGGACAGAAGCUACACUCGUGCAUUCAGCACAUGACAAUGCAGAAACAAACAUGCUAAGGACCAAAGAAUGACAUGCAAAUGUGCUUGUAAUUAACUCAACACCUACUGCUUUGUACACUUUCAUCCUUCCUCAAGGAGAGAUUAGAAAUCUAAGGAUCCGCACGACGGCACAAGUUAGCCAAAUGAGGGUGGGUAAGAAGAGUUGAGAAGAAUUUGUGAAUGUCUGGUACAAUGCAAUGAAGAAAGCGACGAUACCUGCAUGUUAAGAUUGAGAAAACAAAUAUGGUCAAUCCAGUUUACAGUAGAAGUACUAUUCAAGUUGUAAAUAGAGUAACAUAACAUACCAUGGUUUGGUACUCAGAUUAUCAAAUUGCUCCAGGACAAAGAGUAUGCAUGCAUAUCUUAAUGAUGUAGCAUUAAAAGUGUCUGACAUCACAUACAUCUGUGAAACAUUUUCCACAGAAAUAUCCUACAAGAAUAAUUUAACAGUAUUAAAUUAAACCAUUAAAAAUUCAACAAAAAUAAAAGCAACUGAAACUCAAGUUGUGGCCUACCUCAGAAAUAGCAUAUUCGCAAAGACUCUUAAGACCAUCAAGAAGAUAUUGAUCUGCAGCUUUAAGGAGGUCCGGAGCAAGAUCCAAAUCAAUAUCUACUGCUCCAGUGUAUAUAUAUCUAAAAUUUCAACAGAAAAUCAGUUCAAAUAUAGAGCCCUAUUAUAGAAACGUCAAAAUGUUAUAAAAGGGAGACUGCCAAAAUACCUCAUCAUCAACUCAAAGACAUCCCAUUUAAUAUUUGGAAUCUCUAUAUUUUUGGCUUCCUUUUCCUGCAUUAUACAUUGCAAGACAUUACUAAGGAUAUUUACACUUAAUUCCAAAAGAUCCAUUAGUCCUAUUUCAAUUGCAAAGUGAUUGAGAGGCUUUCAAAUUUUCCAAAAUGCAUGUGGGGCAAGAAAAUUAGUAACCACUUAGCCUAUUAAAGACGCCAAUCAAACAGCUGCCAUCACAAUCAACUGUAUACUUGAACAUUUGCAAAAGAAAGUUACUAGUUACAGCUAAUGGAUGCAUAAAAUUUGAAAGCCAGUGCCAGGAACGUUUUAGGUGUAAGACCAGUGCCAGGAUACGUAAAAUUAAACGAAGACUUGAAACAAGUUGAAUGAUUAGUUAAUACUAACCCUAUAGCCCCCAUCAAACAUUGCACGAAAUGUAUCAGAAGAAGAAAGUAAACAAACUCUAUGAGCAUAAAAGCUUUUGCCUGAAGAAGGGAGAACAAACUGAAUUAGUACAUAAAUAAGAAUCAAUAUGCAUACAACCAAAAAAUUGACAGAAAACGAUAACAAAAACUGUGGCAGCUUAUUUACCUUCAACUAUGAAUGUGACAUCAGAAAGUUUAGGAUUGUUUACGUAUUGCUCACCCAAGUAAACCUGCAUACAACACAAAACAAAGAUCUCAUUUUCCAUUUUCAUCCCCGUAAUAUAUAGAAAAUAGAAUAUGAACAACUCAGUUUCAAAGACAAGAAGUUCAAACUUCAAUUGAAUUGUGCAAUUAUGAUAACUUGGAACAAAUGCUUCAACAAGUGAAGAACAAAAAACCAAACUAGAUAUGAUGAGCCCAUUUGAUAAAUAAAAUGCAAAAUACCUGGGGAGUUGGUGAUGUAGGAGCAGGAUCAACAAUAGAGGAACACAUGUCUUUCAUAGCCAUUGUGUGAAGCGCUGCUGAAGCAUCACCUUUCUGCUUUGGGUUUGUAGAUUGGAGAAGAUUCAACAGCAGUUCUAAUCCUGAAAAUUUAGCAGCAUAGUGAUUAAAAAUACUUUCUAUGCACUGCCAGAGAGGGGGACAAAAAAAAUAAAUUUUAAAGUUUGUUACCAUUAUUGUCAAUAAAUAUAGUUUUCCGAUCAUCAGGGGAACAUAAAUGUGCAAGAGCAAGAGCUACACGUAUUUGAAGAUCCUUUUCCCCAGUGCGCAUAAGAUAUAACAUGUGUUUCAGUACCUGCAAAAGAGGAAUUGAUAGAAUAAUCAAAACCAAUAAUGUAAGCAACAGUACAAGGAUUGAGUAGGCUGAUAAUUUGGGAGAAAACUUACUCGCCCUUGCAUCUUCUCUUCCAAUCUUUUUAACGUCUUUGUUACACACUCUUGAGUAGGCUGCAAGUCAAACAACAAUGAUAAUGAAACUAAAUUGAUUAUAAAUUAGUGAGAAGAAGAGGUUCUAUUACCUUGAUAAACAAACAACUAAAUUAUCAUUCCAAAGAAGAAAUGACAGAAAAUUAAAUGUGAACAUAUUGUAGUACUGUGCUGCAAAGAGCAAAUGAACGUACUUGAGCGUUGAAAUGUCCAUCAUGCAGUUUUUGAAAACCACCAGCCUUAAUUAUAACCGCAACAUUGUCCUGUCAUACAAAGCAGUUAUGUCAGAGGCAGCAUAUCACCAGGCAUCAAUGAUUAAUAAAGGGCCACAUACUAUGCUGAACGAGUAAAAAACAAGGAAACUAACUUCACCUCAUUAUCAGCCAGACCAUAGAGAGCAAAAGCUGCGUUGUGUUGAACGGAACCAUUCUUUGUGUCAAGAAGAUCAAGCAGAGGCUCUAUACCUCCAUUAUAAGCAAUACCAGCUUGAUUGUGUGAGUCCUAACAUGAAUUAUAUAAACAUUUAGGAUUGAUUUCGAUAAAUUAAUUCCCAUAUACAGAUAAAUACUGGUUGCAAAUGAUAAUCACCUGUGCCAACCUCCCAAGUGCAAAAGUUGACAUUUCCCUAAGCUGUAAAUCUGAAGACUUAAGCAUCUCAAUUAAGGGGUUUAUAGCCCCUCUUUGGGCAAUGUGAAUCUGCAUGAACCAUGUAUGAGGAUCAAUAAGAGAAUUCCACACAUGACAAGCAAAUCGCAUUGUAAAUUUGCAAAACACAAUCUAACCAACCUUGCAAUCUGAAUCCGUUGUAGCAAAUUGACCAAUUAAAAGAGCUGCUUCUCUUCGGCUCUCCAAACAGCAGGAGCUAUCAUUGAUAUCAAAGAUUUGUUGAGAUACAAGCAUAUUAAAUGAUUAAUAUAUUAGUAAUAGCUUACUAGCACAAAGCAGCUAUAAUGUUUGCUAAAUAAAUCACAUUUCCUAGUCCUAUGGAUUGCUUUAAAAGAAAGAAAGAAAAAUAUGUAUGUCACCUUAGUAAGCAAAUAACUGGCUGUAAUGCCCCAGCCAGAAGAACUUCUCUCUUAAUUUCUGGCGAAGAAUGGACCAGAUUUCCAAUCACGCCAACCUACAAAAAAAAGGCUCAUUCAGCUUCUUGUAGCUUGGAACUCUCUAUAAAGCAAAAUUUAAUAUAAGGGGUUAUAUGAAUUCAGUUGUGUCUAACCGCUUCAUAAUGUAUUGAGGCAUCUGCUGAUCCAAGCAUUAGUACAAGAGUUGGCAACGCAUUGCAUUCAAUAAUCUGCAAUUUUCAUUCUUGUAAGCAACUAUACCAAAAGAAUCCACCGUAGUAAGUUCCUGUGAAAAAUCAAGUACCUGAUUUUUGUUCUCAGCAUUUUGAAAUGCGAGAGUCCGCAAGGCACCUGCAGCUGCUCUCUGUACCUUUGUAUCAUUGAAUUCAAGCAAUUCAACAAGAGGAGGGAUACCACCGUCCAACCUGAACAUAGCAUCUAUUUUAGAAUAGGGAAUAUAUUAUACAUAGCAUACAUAUCUAAGGUGUUGGAAUUUGGAAAAACCUGACAAGGGUCUUAAUGUUGGUAUUUUCAUGGGCAAGGCUGGUUAUUGCAUCGGCUGCUCUCCUAAGAAGACCAGAAAAAAGUGCUUGAGAAAUUACAGGGCUUUUGGGUCUCUUUAACAACUCUACGAGAUAGGACAAGGCUCCAGCAUCAACGAUGAGUCGUUGAUACUCUGGCUGUUUGAACAUAAAGAUCAGCAUAAAUAAAACCCAAGUUAAUAUACUUCAUGAUGUACAAAUUUGAAUUAAUCAUUAAAAAAAGAGAAAAAUGGAUACUCAAAAACAUAAUCAUCUUCUUCAAAACAUUCAAAAGGUCUUAUAUUGAAACGGAAUGCACAAUCCAUGGUGAAUCAAUUGUGUAAUUGCAUAUAUACAUAUAACGAUAACUGCUCCAUAGUAACAUAAUUAUUAAUCGCUUAAUUUUUGUAACAAUUGAAAACUAAGUUGGGAUUAAUCAGUGGGUCAUUCCAGAAAAUUAUUGUCGCUAAUCCUAGUUUAAACAUUUGAAAUGGAUCAUUCAUCAAACAAUUAAAAUUAUUACAAAAAAAAAAAUAUAACUGAAGAUUCAAUGAGUCAUUACAGAAAAUUAUCAUCGCUAAAUAUGUAAAUCAUUUCUCAGUCCUAAUCUUUAAACAUCACCUACUCACUCCACAUACACUUUUUCAGAAAUGAGACUAGUAGGAACAAAAGUUGAUUAACUCAAUGAAUCAAAAUUAAGACAAAACUUGACCUAAUCAAUAAAAAAUUCAUGACAUAAUUGAUAUUAUUCAAAAAGAAUAACGUAAUUACUUUGACAGCGAGGAGACCAAGGAUGAACGCACAAUCCUUCUCCAUAUCAUACUUAUAAGAAUCAGCAUCACAAUCUCCGGCCGUCUCCAGAAUCUCCACCAGAACAGGAACAGCACCGCAAUUGACUAUAACAUCAACAAUAUCCUCUACAAAAAAAAAAAAAAAAAAAAAAAAAAAAAAAAAAAAAAUCAAAACAAAUUAAAAUUAAAAAAUAAAAUUGAACAACACGGAAUGAAGAAAACGGAAAACAGUACCGUCUUUGGCGAAUUCGGAAAGGACAAANUUGCUUUGGUUUUUGUGCCAAGACUCACAUUUCUUACUAUAUUUUGGUUGUCCCACAAGUUGUCCUACAAAAUGGUUGUUCAAAUAACACUCCUCUAUUAAUUAAUUCCAAUAAACAUAACUCAAAUUAGGAUUUAAUUUAUAAAUACUGACAGUGUAAAACUCUUUUAUACAUGCAUCCAACCAAAAGACUCCACGACGUUCAUCGAUGCAAGUGUAAAACUAUUUUACACUGACAGUGCAUUUUCUAUUUUGUCUAAAUUGUGAGUUUGGGUAUAUAGAAUUACAAGUUCAUAACUUGAAUUCUGAAAACAUGAAUUACACAAGAAUGAAGGAACACGUGAAAUUCAAAACAUAAGAAAAGUGAAGAAUGAAUUUUGGGUUACCUGAAUGGUGGGAUACUGAGAUUGGAGGGUUGGUGUAGCAGCGAGAGGUGAAGUGGAGAACCUGCUACAGCGGGUGGGAAUAAAUUGUGGAGAAAUUGAAAUUGGUGGAGAUGGAGAAUUUGGAAGCCAUAAGCGUGAUGAUGAUGGUGACGAUGAUAGUUGAAAUUGAACACUCAUCACCAUGUUUAUUGCUGCUAGUGCUACUCUUGAGUUUCGUUUUUUGAUAUAAAUUCAAGGGAAGAUGCUCAAAAUAUACAUUAUCUUUUUAUUUGAAGAAAAAUAUUCAUUACAUACAAUACAAGCUGAUUUUUUCUUUUUUUCCGUAAAAUAUUUUAGAUUGAAGAAGUAAAAAAUGAUAUGCAUUGUUUAGUAUUUGGGAUAACGUUUAUCUUGUGAGCUUUGGGUUUAACAUAAAUAUUCGUUUUUUAUUUUUUUGUAUAUGCUUGAAAUUUAUAAAUAAAUAAGUUAUACAAUAAAUGUUAAUAAAUCUAUAAAGGCAUUUGUUAAAUAACUAAAUUGAGUAAUGAUAUUUGUGAGAUUCUUUUUCUGGUGUAAAUCGGGUAUCAUAUGCAUGUGUAACUAUGGAGAUUAAUCCAUCGAGCUUUGUGGGACCCAAAUUGACGAUAAACUCUUCCCAAGAGUUUUAACAUUGCUGCAUGUCUAAGGUUUGAUUUGAACCCAUGACUUUGGUUAAACUAAAAGAGACGUGUCAUCUCAUUUUAAUUUUGUUUUGUUUGUAUAUAGACUUUCAAACUUCAAAUCUAAUAUUUAUAUGCAAACAUGGAUAAUGGAUCAUAGAUUUGAAGACCAAAAGCUCACAAAGAAACAGAACCAUAGUUUUAAAAAGAGAACAUAUUUGCCUAAGUUGCUACACUUGAUUCAUGCUGUUUUGUCAUGUUUUUUUAAGUCAGCCUCUUUUGACUGUGUAAAGAUUUAAAAAGAGAACAAAUUUGCCUCAAGUUGUUACACUUGAUUCAUGAUGUUUUGUCAAUGUAGAUAGCUGUUUCUUAAUAUACAAGUAACACAGUAGCAGGCUAGCAGCUUGUUAUGUAAAUAAGAAACCCCAAGAGUAACAACACUUGGGUAUAUCACGUAAUGAGAAUAUACAAAUGUAGUGCACUUUAUCAUCGAUUAUAACCACCGAUAAUUUAAGACCAAACUCAGCAUUCACAAGCCUAAAGAAAGACCAAACUAUCUUGAUACUCAGCCAAAUAUAUAAAUAUGAUUACUUCAAUAGAAUUGACAUUUUUACUGUCAAAAUAACAUGAAGUACAGUUCUGGACCCUUGUAAUUGUUCUAAAAUAUAAUGACUUUCCCUACCAAUCAACUAUAUAUUUGAAAAUCUACAAAAUCACGGUGCUCCUGUGCAAAUGGACAGAAGCUACACUCGUGCAUUCAGCACAUGACAAUGCAGAAACAAACAUGCUAAGGACCAAAGAAUGACAUGCAAAUGUGCUUGUAAUUAACUCAACACCUACUGCUUUGUACACUUUCAUCCUUCCUCAAGGAGAGAUUAGAAAUCUAAGGAUCCGCACGACGGCACAAGUUAGCCAAAUGAGGGUGGGUAAGAAGAGUUGAGAAGAAUUUGUGAAUGUCUGGUACAAUGCAAUGAAGAAAGCGACGAUACCUGCAUGUUAAGAUUGAGAAAACAAAUAUGGUCAAUCCAGUUUACAGUAGAAGUACUAUUCAAGUUGUAAAUAGAGUAACAUAACAUACCAUGGUUUGGUACUCAGAUUAUCAAAUUGCUCCAGGACAAAGAGUAUGCAUGCAUAUCUUAAUGAUGUAGCAUUAAAAGUGUCUGACAUCACAUACAUCUGUGAAACAUUUUCCACAGAAAUAUCCUACAAGAAUAAUUUAACAGUAUUAAAUUAAACCAUUAAAAAUUCAACAAAAAUAAAAGCAACUGAAACUCAAGUUGUGGCCUACCUCAGAAAUAGCAUAUUCGCAAAGACUCUUAAGACCAUCAAGAAGAUAUUGAUCUGCAGCUUUAAGGAGGUCCGGAGCAAGAUCCAAAUCAAUAUCUACUGCUCCAGUGUAUAUAUAUCUAAAAUUUCAACAGAAAAUCAGUUCAAAUAUAGAGCCCUAUUAUAGAAACGUCAAAAUGUUAUAAAAGGGAGACUGCCAAAAUACCUCAUCAUCAACUCAAAGACAUCCCAUUUAAUAUUUGGAAUCUCUAUAUUUUUGGCUUCCUUUUCCUGCAUUAUACAUUGCAAGACAUUACUAAGGAUAUUUACACUUAAUUCCAAAAGAUCCAUUAGUCCUAUUUCAAUUGCAAAGUGAUUGAGAGGCUUUCAAAUUUUCCAAAAUGCAUGUGGGGCAAGAAAAUUAGUAACCACUUAGCCUAUUAAAGACGCCAAUCAAACAGCUGCCAUCACAAUCAACUGUAUACUUGAACAUUUGCAAAAGAAAGUUACUAGUUACAGCUAAUGGAUGCAUAAAAUUUGAAAGCCAGUGCCAGGAACGUUUUAGGUGUAAGACCAGUGCCAGGAUACGUAAAAUUAAACGAAGACUUGAAACAAGUUGAAUGAUUAGUUAAUACUAACCCUAUAGCCCCCAUCAAACAUUGCACGAAAUGUAUCAGAAGAAGAAAGUAAACAAACUCUAUGAGCAUAAAAGCUUUUGCCUGAAGAAGGGAGAACAAACUGAAUUAGUACAUAAAUAAGAAUCAAUAUGCAUACAACCAAAAAAUUGACAGAAAACGAUAACAAAAACUGUGGCAGCUUAUUUACCUUCAACUAUGAAUGUGACAUCAGAAAGUUUAGGAUUGUUUACGUAUUGCUCACCCAAGUAAACCUGCAUACAACACAAAACAAAGAUCUCAUUUUCCAUUUUCAUCCCCGUAAUAUAUAGAAAAUAGAAUAUGAACAACUCAGUUUCAAAGACAAGAAGUUCAAACUUCAAUUGAAUUGUGCAAUUAUGAUAACUUGGAACAAAUGCUUCAACAAGUGAAGAACAAAAAACCAAACUAGAUAUGAUGAGCCCAUUUGAUAAAUAAAAUGCAAAAUACCUGGGGAGUUGGUGAUGUAGGAGCAGGAUCAACAAUAGAGGAACACAUGUCUUUCAUAGCCAUUGUGUGAAGCGCUGCUGAAGCAUCACCUUUCUGCUUUGGGUUUGUAGAUUGGAGAAGAUUCAACAGCAGUUCUAAUCCUGAAAAUUUAGCAGCAUAGUGAUUAAAAAUACUUUCUAUGCACUGCCAGAGAGGGGGACAAAAAAAAUAAAUUUUAAAGUUUGUUACCAUUAUUGUCAAUAAAUAUAGUUUUCCGAUCAUCAGGGGAACAUAAAUGUGCAAGAGCAAGAGCUACACGUAUUUGAAGAUCCUUUUCCCCAGUGCGCAUAAGAUAUAACAUGUGUUUCAGUACCUGCAAAAGAGGAAUUGAUAGAAUAAUCAAAACCAAUAAUGUAAGCAACAGUACAAGGAUUGAGUAGGCUGAUAAUUUGGGAGAAAACUUACUCGCCCUUGCAUCUUCUCUUCCAAUCUUUUUAACGUCUUUGUUACACACUCUUGAGUAGGCUGCAAGUCAAACAACAAUGAUAAUGAAACUAAAUUGAUUAUAAAUUAGUGAGAAGAAGAGGUUCUAUUACCUUGAUAAACAAACAACUAAAUUAUCAUUCCAAAGAAGAAAUGACAGAAAAUUAAAUGUGAACAUAUUGUAGUACUGUGCUGCAAAGAGCAAAUGAACGUACUUGAGCGUUGAAAUGUCCAUCAUGCAGUUUUUGAAAACCACCAGCCUUAAUUAUAACCGCAACAUUGUCCUGUCAUACAAAGCAGUUAUGUCAGAGGCAGCAUAUCACCAGGCAUCAAUGAUUAAUAAAGGGCCACAUACUAUGCUGAACGAGUAAAAAACAAGGAAACUAACUUCACCUCAUUAUCAGCCAGACCAUAGAGAGCAAAAGCUGCGUUGUGUUGAACGGAACCAUUCUUUGUGUCAAGAAGAUCAAGCAGAGGCUCUAUACCUCCAUUAUAAGCAAUACCAGCUUGAUUGUGUGAGUCCUAACAUGAAUUAUAUAAACAUUUAGGAUUGAUUUCGAUAAAUUAAUUCCCAUAUACAGAUAAAUACUGGUUGCAAAUGAUAAUCACCUGUGCCAACCUCCCAAGUGCAAAAGUUGACAUUUCCCUAAGCUGUAAAUCUGAAGACUUAAGCAUCUCAAUUAAGGGGUUUAUAGCCCCUCUUUGGGCAAUGUGAAUCUGCAUGAACCAUGUAUGAGGAUCAAUAAGAGAAUUCCACACAUGACAAGCAAAUCGCAUUGUAAAUUUGCAAAACACAAUCUAACCAACCUUGCAAUCUGAAUCCGUUGUAGCAAAUUGACCAAUUAAAAGAGCUGCUUCUCUUCGGCUCUCCAAACAGCAGGAGCUAUCAUUGAUAUCAAAGAUUUGUUGAGAUACAAGCAUAUUAAAUGAUUAAUAUAUUAGUAAUAGCUUACUAGCACAAAGCAGCUAUAAUGUUUGCUAAAUAAAUCACAUUUCCUAGUCCUAUGGAUUGCUUUAAAAGAAAGAAAGAAAAAUAUGUAUGUCACCUUAGUAAGCAAAUAACUGGCUGUAAUGCCCCAGCCAGAAGAACUUCUCUCUUAAUUUCUGGCGAAGAAUGGACCAGAUUUCCAAUCACGCCAACCUACAAAAAAAAGGCUCAUUCAGCUUCUUGUAGCUUGGAACUCUCUAUAAAGCAAAAUUUAAUAUAAGGGGUUAUAUGAAUUCAGUUGUGUCUAACCGCUUCAUAAUGUAUUGAGGCAUCUGCUGAUCCAAGCAUUAGUACAAGAGUUGGCAACGCAUUGCAUUCAAUAAUCUGCAAUUUUCAUUCUUGUAAGCAACUAUACCAAAAGAAUCCACCGUAGUAAGUUCCUGUGAAAAAUCAAGUACCUGAUUUUUGUUCUCAGCAUUUUGAAAUGCGAGAGUCCGCAAGGCACCUGCAGCUGCUCUCUGUACCUUUGUAUCAUUGAAUUCAAGCAAUUCAACAAGAGGAGGGAUACCACCGUCCAACCUGAACAUAGCAUCUAUUUUAGAAUAGGGAAUAUAUUAUACAUAGCAUACAUAUCUAAGGUGUUGGAAUUUGGAAAAACCUGACAAGGGUCUUAAUGUUGGUAUUUUCAUGGGCAAGGCUGGUUAUUGCAUCGGCUGCUCUCCUAAGAAGACCAGAAAAAAGUGCUUGAGAAAUUACAGGGCUUUUGGGUCUCUUUAACAACUCUACGAGAUAGGACAAGGCUCCAGCAUCAACGAUGAGUCGUUGAUACUCUGGCUGUUUGAACAUAAAGAUCAGCAUAAAUAAAACCCAAGUUAAUAUACUUCAUGAUGUACAAAUUUGAAUUAAUCAUUAAAAAAAGAGAAAAAUGGAUACUCAAAAACAUAAUCAUCUUCUUCAAAACAUUCAAAAGGUCUUAUAUUGAAACGGAAUGCACAAUCCAUGGUGAAUCAAUUGUGUAAUUGCAUAUAUACAUAUAACGAUAACUGCUCCAUAGUAACAUAAUUAUUAAUCGCUUAAUUUUUGUAACAAUUGAAAACUAAGUUGGGAUUAAUCAGUGGGUCAUUCCAGAAAAUUAUUGUCGCUAAUCCUAGUUUAAACAUUUGAAAUGGAUCAUUCAUCAAACAAUUAAAAUUAUUACAAAAAAAAAAAUAUAACUGAAGAUUCAAUGAGUCAUUACAGAAAAUUAUCAUCGCUAAAUAUGUAAAUCAUUUCUCAGUCCUAAUCUUUAAACAUCACCUACUCACUCCACAUACACUUUUUCAGAAAUGAGACUAGUAGGAACAAAAGUUGAUUAACUCAAUGAAUCAAAAUUAAGACAAAACUUGACCUAAUCAAUAAAAAAUUCAUGACAUAAUUGAUAUUAUUCAAAAAGAAUAACGUAAUUACUUUGACAGCGAGGAGACCAAGGAUGAACGCACAAUCCUUCUCCAUAUCAUACUUAUAAGAAUCAGCAUCACAAUCUCCGGCCGUCUCCAGAAUCUCCACCAGAACAGGAACAGCACCGCAAUUGACUAUAACAUCAACAAUAUCCUCUACAAAAAAAAAAAAAAAAAAAAAAAAAAAAGAUAGAUAGAUCAAAACAAAUUAAAAUUAAAAAAUAAAAUUGAACAACACGGAAUGAAGAAAACGGAAAACAGUACCGUCUUUGGCGAAUUCGGAAAGGACAAAGAGAGCACAAUUAGCAGAAGAACGAUCUGAACAAGAAGAUGAAAAAGAGGAUUUGAGAAGAUGAAUACGAUUGGAAAUAUCAGUGGGAAGAUCUAAACGACGAGGUUUGGUUGUUACUUCUUCUACUUCAUCUUCUUCAGUCCAAUCGAGUUUUCUCUUCAAACUUUGGGUGUUGUUACGAAGAUCCAUCAGGUUGGAUAAGAGUCUGGUGGUGGUGGCAAUGGUGGGGGUGAAGUUGGAGAUUCGAAUGCCAAAUACUGUUCUUUGUAUAAAGGGCAGUUUCAAUUUCAAAAAAGCGCCAAAUUUGAAAACAUUUCAUUUCCCCCCGCGUUUUCCUUUUCCUUUCUCUUUCCCGCUCCAUUUUUUAUUUUCCUUUUCCCAUUUCAUUAGCCACAAUUUACACCUUUAUUAAUUACUUUUUUCAUUAACCAUAAAAAUACAAGAUGUUACCCAUUUGUGAUUUAUUUUAUGUAUCUUCAACAAAUGAUAGAAAUGCGUAAAUUCAAAAGUGAUUAACACCAUAGAAAUAACAAUGACAUACAUUUAUAUUGCUAAUGAAGUAAUGAAAUUGAUUAAUGGUACAACUUUGUUUAUAUGUCACCAAAGUCCUCUUCAAUAAUGAAAAAAACAUUCUCUAAAAAAAUACUACUUCCGUCCCUAAUUAUAAGAUCAUUUUGAGAAUUUUUUGUCCCUUUUUAUAAGACCCAUUUUCUAUUUCCAACUACAUUAAUUAUUUCUUUACAUACAUGUCCCUAUUUAUUAUACAUUUUUUUCUUCAAUCAGCAAUAAAUAGAAUGUUGAAAACAUAAGUCAACCCUCUUUCUUAAAGGAUAAAAUUGUAAAAAUAAUAGUAAUUACAAACAUAUUUAAUACAAAUAUUCACUAUCUUAAUUACCGUUAUUUUUUCAAAAGAGCCUUAUAAUUAAGGACGGGGUAGUAUUAAAAAAAUAUUGUUCACCGUAAACAAUGCAUAUGUCAUAUGUUAAUCUCAACUCUAAAUAUUAUUUCUCUUAAAAAUAAUGGUGUAUGUUCUUCCACAAUUUUGACAUUACACUGCGGUAUCAAGGUAUGUCGACCAUUUUAUGUGAGUUUUAUUUCCAAAAUAUUAAUUGGCAAUAAUGUAAACCAAUAAGAGAAUUUGUGUUAGAAAAAAUAUUCAAAAGAGAGUAUUGUAAACACUACUCUUUUUUUAUUGGUAGAGGCAACAACAAACAUUUCUUUUAUGCAAUAAACAUUUAUAUACCACGGAGUUUUUGUAUUUUCAUAUAAGGGGUAAAUAUGUUUUUUAUCUUUGUAAAUAUAUAAUUUUUUGUUUUACUCCCUUCAAGAUUUUCCUUUGACUUUUAAUCCUUAUAAAAUUUUGGGUUAAUAGUGUUUUACCUCCUAUAGUAUAAGUCAUUUCCGGGUUACCCCCCUGUAAUUUGAACAGAUUUUCGAAUUAUCCUUUGCCAUAUCAUCGAUUUUGUAAAGUCAAAAUUCAUGAAGAUCCAAAACCAAAUAUCUUCAAACUACAAGGAUGAAAUCUAAAUAAAAAAAAAAAAUACAGUAGGAUAAACUGAAAAUGGUGUAUAUUACAGAGAGGUAAAUCCCUAUUAACCUUAAAAUUUUCAAUCAUCACUUUUGUUUCUUAUUUUUUAAGUCAACUCAUGUUAGCCUUUGUAUUUUUUAAUAAAAUUGUGCAUCAAUUUGUAGAAUAUAAUAAAAAUAUCUCCCAAAAAAUAGAUUUUUUUUAACAAAACACGAAUUAAAUAUCAAUUUUUAACCACCAAAAAUAUAAAAAUCAUGUUUGUUAAAAAAUUAUAAAAAAAAAAUAUGGGAAAGAUUAUUAUAAUAUUAUAGAUUUUUUUGUAAAAUUUUAUUCAAAAAUAUGUAUUCUACAUGAGUUUACUUAAAAGGAGAGAUUAAAAGUGAACAUGAAAAAUUUUUGGAGACUAAAAAUCAAAGGAAAUUUUUAAGAGAGACUAAAAUAAAAAAAUUGGUAUAUUUAUAGGAAUCAAAAACAUAUUUAACCCUUUAGAUAAUCCUUGUAGUAAUGCAGUGGCGGAGCCACACACAGGUUGUGUGGGCUCAUGCCUGCACAAAUAUAUCUUUGACAUCCCCAUAUACUUGUCCAUUUUAUGAAUAUGAAAUUUGCACACAAUUUAUUCCAUUUUAUUUUGAUUUUUCCCACCACACAAACAUAACAUGUUAUACUCUCAUAUAUUUAAUUUUUUAAAAUUAAAAUAAGCAAUUUUUAUCACACCCCAUCUCAUUAUCUAUCAGAGAGUCUCGCAUCGGUUGAGAGAUGACAUAUAUAAGUGCUUAUAAGUCGGGGCAAUAUUCAUCUCACAUGCCGUUUUUGUGAAAUUUUAUUUCUAAACCCACCUAAAUCAUCUCUUUCUCACUUGUUUCAUGGAACCGAAAAAUCAACCACACCAACUCUCCCUCCCGAAAAUUCCGUGUAACGAUGCCCCACUAUUCAUAAUUCCUGGCUCCGCUACUGUAGUAAUGGAUAUAUAAAUUGUGUAAUCAUAAGCAUUACAAACAAUUAAAUUUGAUAAAAAAAACAUUUGAAUCUGGUAUUUACACAGAAUAAAUAUCUAUUUCAAUUAGUUUGGAAUAUUUUAUUAAAAAAUAUAGUUUGGAAUAUAAACAAUGAUGACGGUGAUAAAUAUGUAAUAAUAAUAUUAUUAUUAAUUAUAAUAACAAUAAUCAUCUAUGUGAUUUUUUAUACUACCUCUGUCCUAAUUAUAAGACCCUUUUAAUAAAAUAAUUUGUCCCCUUUUAUAAGACUCAUUUGAUGUUUUCAAGUACAUUAAUUAUUUCUUUACCAACAUACCCUUAUUUAUUUUGCAUUUUUUCUUCAAUCAACAAUAAAUAUUAUAUUGAAAACAUAAAUUUACUCUUUCUCUUAAGGAUAAAAUUGUAAAAACAAUAGUAAUUAUAUAUAAAUUUAAUACUACAACCAACUUUCUUAAUCUCCGCCAAGGUUUUGCAACUCGAGAGUUUACCUCAACUCGUUUUACCUAGGUAAACUCGACUCGUAAACUUGAAUCGUAAACUCGUACGAAUUUACCUAAAAUUGAAAUUUUAUACAAUUUAUUAUAUGCAUGACAUAUGUAAGCUAAUAUAAUACUGUAAAAGAUCAAUAGUUAAAAAUAUAGACUUAAUUAUAAAUGCAAAGUAUACCAAACUACCAUAAAAAAAUGGUAUGCUUAACUUAGUAUCAAAAUAGAAAAAUUAACACACAAAAGCAUAGAUUUCAUAAGUCUUUAAAGUCUGGCCCAUCCCAAAAAGAAAGUUUCACAAGUUUCUAAACUUGAGAAUAAAACUAUCCAAAAAACAAAUUAGGUAAUUUAUUCAUCUCCAUCUGCAUCAAAUUCUUGAAGAAAAAAAAAUGGGCCAAAAACAAUGGGCCAUUUUUGAAGAAAAAAAAAAUACAGGAGUAAACUCACAAAAACGGUAAACUCGCCCAAUUUCACACGAGUUUACUGAGUGUUAACUCGGUCAAACUGUUCGAUUUUACCAUAAAUCGAGUUUACCUCUGAGUUAAAACGCUUUUAGCACCUAAACACGUAAACUCGCCGAGUUGACACGCGAUUUGUGGAACAUUGAUCUCCGCAAUUUUGACAAAAAACUCCUAUAUUUAGGGACAGAGGUAGUAUAAUUUUCUGAUCAUUUUUCCUACAACACAACUCUACAUCGCACGAGAGUAACCUAGCUCACUAUAGAUUUUUUUUAUAAGUGAGAAGAAAGGAAAUACAUUAAGAGGAGACUCAGACAUCUAACAAGAUUGGCACCUCCAAAAACACUAUCAUAUACAACACCAAAACCAUCAAAGAUAGAAAAACAAACAGGGGGAAAAAAACAGAGAAAAAAGAAGUGGCCCUAAAGGAAAAUAUGCUCCUCAGUCGCCCUUGGAACGGGUGUUGUGUGUAGUGACUUUGGUGAGUUGUUUCUUCUGCUUCUUCAACAAAUGAGGAGUAAAAUGUUCGUUUGAAGCGUCAUUUUUCGUAGCCCUUAUUUGACGAAGCAAUUCCAAGACAUUCUGAAGCACCGGGUAGCGGUGCUGCCGUGCUGGGGAAGGGGGUUCUCAGUAUGGGAAGUAUCAGUAUGAGCUAGUUCCUCUUGUAUAAUAUUGUUUUGGAAUACAUUAUGCUCAAAAUUCGGCUGGGAUAUAACUGGUAUCAAAAGAGGUUCCUCUUCAACAGGAACUUGUUUAUUCUCUUGUUCCACAUGUGCAUGUUCAUAUAUGUCACCAUAACCUGAUCAUUCACUGUGGCUUGAAUCUGCGCCACUAAAUCAUGUGUGUUGUCAACAUGAGUUGCUACUGAUUCAAUUUGCUUUUAUGUGCCUACUUCAACCUCCUUCUCAUGAGGUAUAUAUUGUUGUGUUACUUUUUUUGUGUCAGCAAGCUGAUUAUUUGUUGGCUUCAUUCCUUAAUCAAAAUUUUUCAUUGGUUUCUUUGGAUGCAACCACUUGCGAUUCAACACUGUAUGAUCGAUGAGAUUGCAAUGGUGACAGAAUAUCAAUAGUUUCUCAUAUUGAACCUCCACAUCAAAUGUGUAAACAUCCCUUUCCAUCAUAAUCUCAUAAAAGAGACGUCUUGAUAUAUUCAUAUCCACCAAAAUGCGUGCAUAGUGCCUAAAAACAUGGUUCUUUAUUGAAGCGUGCAAUAUUAACGGAGAAAACAAAGAUUUAGCAAAAAUAAUCCCUGUAAAUUAUUGACACGUGUCAUUUUAUUCCUUGUUAAAAAAACAUCUAUUAUCUAUAGGAUUAAAAUAAUCAUGUUUUCAUGUAUAUAAAAAGUGAUAAAAUGUGUUCACCAACUCCGUCGUUUUCUUUUAUGUUAGUUAAUUUUUUAUUUUUUUCUUCAAAUAAAUUAUCAAAGAGUGGCGUUACAAAAUACAAUUUAAUUUAUAAACUGAUAUAAAUAUAUGACUUAUUUGUCACUUAUUAAAGAGUGUCGUUUCGUCCCCGUGAGCAUAGCUCAGUUGGUAGGAACAUGCAUAAUUAUAUGCAGGGGUUGGGGUUCAAACCCUAAACACCCCACUUAUUCACUUUGAAAAAAAUGAAUUAUAGUCACUAGACAACUUGACAAAAAAAAAAAAAAAUGUCGUUUCAAACUACAAUCUUAUAUCAUAUAAUUAACAAUGAGAACAAAUAAAUUAUUAAUUAAAACUUAUUAAAAAUCAUAUAUGAGACAAAUGUACUAAUUACAAAAAGUUAGUGUUUUUUUAUUAUAUUCAACAUAAAAAAGAGAAGAAUUAUAUACACCACUUAUAUUUAUGUAAAUUCAUUGUUUGAACGUUGUUUUUCUAUAAACGAUUUACUAGAGUUUUUUUUCUCUAAAUGAGUCACUAAAGAGUUUUGUUUUAACUUACAAUUCAUACACGGGUAGUUAUUUUUUCUCAAAACUCGCAAAUUCUUCGUCCAUAUACAUUGCUAAAUUUAUUAUUUAGGUUGAUAAGGAAUGGCCUAUUUUUUGUUUGAAGAGGCUAAAAUGAAUUAUAUUACCACAACAAAAGGUCCGGCGGUUGUGUUCUUAUCUGUACAAAAUUACAAGGUUUGUUUGUUACUGUAAACAUGAAAAGGAAAGAUGGUAUAUUUGUUGGAAGGUUCAAUUUAGUUAGCUUGCAGUGUUUUCUUAUCCAUGGAAAUCUAUUGUUCUAAACAUUUGUAAUAUCAUGUUGUUGUUGGAUUUCUCGUUUGUUAAUUAUUGUUUUUGAAGUAGUGUUUAGCUUGAAUUAGCUUGAUUUUUGGUUUGUUAAUUCUGGAUUUAUUUUGCCGUUGGAUUUUGUUAAUUCUAGCUUGAAUUUUUCUUGUUAGUUUAUUGUUGCUGGAUUUUUGGUUUGUUAAUCCUGGGUUUAUGUUUGAAUGAUAUAAUGAUAUUAUGGAUUUUCUUUAAGAAAUGGAUGAAGAAGAAGGAACUCACGUGCCUCUCCUUUCUUUCCUUUUUUUUUUUUUAAUUCCGUAAAUGCAUGUGUGGCUUUUUGUUUUUUUUUUUAAUUUAAAAAAUACACAGUUGGCAUGACAUGUAGGAUUGACCAAAUCAAAAUUGAGGUUUUGCAAAAGGUGAUAAACAUGGGUCAUUUUUGCUAUUUUUUUAAUAGGGGGCUAAAAUUGCAACUUUUGCAAAUUUAAAAGAUAAAAAGUGCGUUUAAGCCAAGUUAAAGUGGAGUGGUCCAAGUCCAACAGUCCAUCAUAACACAUUGCAAUAAGAAAAAAAACAAAUAUUACCUGUUAUUUAAAUAAAUUUAGUCCCUAUGAACUUAACUCAUUUGAUAAGGGAUAAUGCACAAAUGUGUAGGCGUCGGGGUUCGAAUCCCCGGACACCUCACUUAUUCAUCUUUUAGGUGAAUUUCUCUAACCACUAAACUACUUGACAAAAAAAAAUUAUAAUUUUUAUAACAAUGACAUUUUUUUUUUUUGGUACAAGUAACAAUGACAUAUCUAGAGGGACAUUGAGAAGGAAACUUUAUUAUGGAGAGAGAGAAGAGUGCAUUGCUGCCGUUGUGCUAUUUUCGAAUUUACUUUAUGUUGGCAGAAAGCUUUUAGUUCGAGAUUUGUUUAAUGUCGUUGAAUUUAUAUUGAUGACAUUUUUUUUGAACAAACAAAAAUAAGAUAUAUUAACACGGACACCGUAAUUGUUAUCGCACAAGGUGUGCCAAAUAAUCACGAAAAUGUCAAGGUCCAAACAAAAUUACAACCAAAUCAGUCAAUACACGGACAUAAAAGCGGGUUCGACCACCACUGAUGAGUACCAAAACUAAAUACAACAUUGCUAGCCUUUAACCACCACAAAGAAGUUGAUUUCACUUUAUCUAACAUUUGUGGCAGAGUACUUUGUCUAUUUCUAAAAAUCCUAUCAUCCAUUUCAUUCCACAACACCGAAACACGAAGCAAUCAAAUCAAGUGGAAGAAAGACCGUCAUCUUCUCAAACAACCUGCGUAAUUAAUAAAUUGCAAAAAAUGAUCUGAAGUUGAUUGAGAUUCGACCCCUACCACUCCUAGCCAUGCCCGCACCAUUGGCCAUAAUGCACUAAAAGUUACACAAGACAAAAAUAAAUGAUUAACAUCUUCAACGUUCCCACAACUAGAAACACACAACCGCGCCUCCAAAGGUAAAAUGCAACGGUUUGCCAAAUUAUUUUUUGUAGGUAACCAAUCUCUCAGGAGUCGCCAAGCAAGGAUAGAUACUUUGAGAGGAACCUGUUUAUACCAAAUUAACUUCAUAUGAUGAUGUAAUUGGGGCUGCUCCUGUGAUGUCAGCAUGUCAUAUACUCCACGCACAGAAUACCCACCCUCCUGUUUAGGUAAUCAAAGCCAUAUGUUUGUCACUGAUUCCUGCAAAGAAACUGUUAGUAAUAAAACUCUACACUCCUCUACCAACUUCUCCUCCCAAGCCCACAACCGCCUACGCCACCGCAACACCCCCCCACCCACAUCCACCCCCAACAAGAACAUAUUUCUAACUGAAAUUGAUUUUUUAACAUUCAAGUCAAAAAGGCGCCUAAAUUGACGACAUUGUUGCCGUUAAUUAUGAUGUUGUCUCAUCUAGAAGUCCUAGCUCAACUGGCAAAAUAUCGAAAUUGUUAGGUCAGAUGCCAUGACCUGGAUUCGAACCCCGGUACCUCCACUUAUGUGUGUGAGUUUAUAAUGGCUUUAUUAUUUCGUCUAUCUACCAAAAAUAAAAUGAUGUUGUCUCUUUUGAUUACAUUGACAGUGUUAGAUUUGUAUCAUAAGUUUUUUUUUUUUACCAAAAUUUAACCUGCUGCUGUUUUUCUUUAAAUAACAUCAACGUAAUUUUUUAUAACAACAAAAGGUAAAAAAAUGCAUUUAAAAAAUAUUUUAUUUAUUUGACAGAUUGAUCCGCCAACUAGUCUGUCAUCACUAAACGAAACGGGAUGAAAUUUAAAUUCCACCACUUAAAUUGACUCGGCCUAUCUCAAUCUGGCUUUAUAUGGACUUAAGCGGACGUAUCUAAAACGGGCAAGGCAGCCCGCGUUGCCAUCCCUACAUGCAGGUAAUUUUUUUAUUUAUUUUUUGAUUGUUUUUUUACAACACAAUCCAUGCAUGCACAAGAAUAUAUCCAGUCCAACUCCAAUGUAGAUUUGAAAACAAAAAAUUAACAAAAAUAAUCUAUUUUAUUAAAACAAAUCAUCUGUUUUCUAUCGGAAUAAAAAAAAAAAAUCUAUUUUUACGUAUAGAAAAACCCUUAACCUACUUUUUACCAAACUAUUGAACAUUUUUUUUGUACAAACUAUUGAACAUUUUUAUGCAUUAUAAAAAGUGAAAAAAUGUCAUUCGUCAACUUCUUUUUUCUUUUGACAUGUCACUUAAUUAUUUUUACGUUAUUUUCUACAAAUAAAUUACCGAAGAGUGUUUUUUUAGGGAAAAUUCCUAAAGAAUGUUGUUUCAAAAUACAAUUUAAUUAGGUCAAUUUAUUCUUCUUAUUUGUAUGUCGGUAAAUUGUUUUAGGAUAUGUUUAGAAUGAUGAAAAAUGGUGUAAUGGAAUGAAAUAAGUUAAGGUUUCGUUGUUUGGAUAGUUAAUAAAGGGUGAGAUGAAAUUCAAUGGUAUGUAUCCCCUUCCUUUUAUCAUUUACUCUUAUUUUGUUUCCCCCAAUUUGAGCGGCAUGGGAUGGAAUCCCCCGUUAUUCUAGUUGUCUAAUCACUAAAUUAUAAAAAUAACAUCUGUCUU
rnacentral:lncRNA from 1 species